rnacentral:lncRNA from 1 species
UGUGAUACGCUUUGCUUUUUCUCGGGAGGGGGUUGCUUCGAAUUGACGCAUGCAGGGGCUUCGAAUAGGUGUGAUUCCUGAGGUGCUGCCUGUAAUAAAACUCUUUCCAUGGACUCCUCCAUCCCCUUUCUUUUCCUUUCCUUUGGAAUUCUUUCACCUUUCUGUCGUGCUUGCAAUUGGAAUUCAACUUUGCAUGUCCGUGAUUCAUAGCUCGCUACUGCUAGAUGAUCAAGCCAGCUUAUCACUUAUAGCAGUACUACUCAAUGUUCAUUAGCUUGAUUCAUACUCUAGCCCUUGUUGAUCAAUGAUGAUGAUGAUGAAUUAGCACUUGUUGAUCAAUAAUGAUGAUGAAGAAGAAUUAGUACUACCUGCUGAUCGAUGAUGAUGAUAAUAAUGUUAAAUGGAAACGAAAAGAAACUAGGAGUGCUCUAAACUGUAGAGGCUGGAACGAUGUUACUGUGAUUGAUUGUCUUGAGAUGCUUGUUUAGUGGGUGUGGUUUUUGUCUCUUUCUUGUCAUGUUUUUCUGUUGCGUGUGCUCCGGGAUGCAUGCAUCAUUGUUUCUGUUUGGAACCGGCAUGAAAACACAGCGGCGAUCGACACUUGUUGCUUCUCUAGUUCCCUGGAGUAGAAAACAACACUUCCAUUUUCCCAGGCCACACUACAAAAUUUGGUGAAUUUAUGUCCAGUUUGUGCAUAUCUGAAUAUGUUAUCAGCGACUGUAGCAGUCAUGUCAUGUGAUCCAUUUGUGUUAGCCCAGCCUUCCAGAAGCCAUCCAUAUCAUGUGAUGAAUGCUAUUGCCAAGCAAGUUUUUACUCAUAUUUUUCAUGAUCAAAUCCAUUGCUACUGCUAUGCUGGUGCUUAAAGAUUCAGACAUGGAAGGAAAAAGCCAGUACAGUAGCAGCAAGAAUGCAAGAUGCUCAAGAGUCCCAGCGAGCAUCUUCUUUUCUUUUCUUUUUUUCUUUUCAAUCAAUCUGUCCGCCUCCUCCUUUCCAGAGACAAAUCAGUUUGGAACUUACUACAAGUGAAAAAACGAAAGUUGCAGGUCACCAAAGAGCUCACUAAUGCAAAUUAGGUGCUCCACUGGCCAUUAGUGGGGUUCCCCCUCCACCAAUCCCCUUGCCCCAUUGUCAAUUUGGCAUCAUCACGAGAAAGAAAAGGAACAAUGACUAGAUCUCCCUCCCGUUUCCAGUUCCAUAUAGUACAUCGCCCUAAUUCAGAUUCUCUCUCCCCCCCUCUGAUCAACAUCGGCAUAUCACGUUGACAAGCUUCUGAAGAGACGCAGCGCGGCACCAUCAGCGGAGGUUUGCUGAUCGGCAGCAAUGGGGGCAGGCAGGCCCUGGGUUGCAUUGAUGGUGGUGGUGGUGGGCGCCCGGCGCCGGCGUCGGAGCCGAGACGAUCGAGACGACGACAGAAGCAUUGAAGGCCUAGCGAUGGAUGGCGUUUCACAUGGCGCUGUCUUUCAGACGGACAUGGACCUGACACUCGCUCAUCCACUUGCGCAACUUGCUUGCCCCCAAUAAUCAAAGCCAGAAAAGACUCCACCUUUUAUUCUCCCUUUUUCUCUUACGUCCAGGACAACGGACUCCGACCUUAUUUUAAUAAUGGAAAAAGAAAACGCUUUAUAUUUCACCCCGCCCCUACACGCUGAUCAAUGGACAAGAUGCAGUAAUUGGUCGAGAAGAUGGCUGUUUUUCCUUUCCUCCCUCCAGAUGCAAUACUCCCUCCGUUCCAAAAUAUAGCGCGCCCACGUUUUUCGAGGUUCAACUUUGACCAUAAAUUUAACCCACGAGACCGACUGCGGCGGGAUCAAAAAUUAUAUAAUUAAAAACUUUUUUUGAAUACGAAUUCAUUGGUAUAAUUUUUUCGCCCGCCGCAGUCGGUCUUGUUGAUUAAAUUAAUGGUCAAAGUUGAAGCACGGAAACCGAGGACACGCUAUAUUUUGGAACGGAGGGAGUAUCUGAUCAGCGACUCGCAACCAGAUUGGGUCAGUGUCUGAUGGACUAGUAGCAACUCUGUUGACUGCUUCUGCUUUUGCUUGAGAGAGGAACACUGCAGAGAAAGAAAGAAAUGCAAGAUAAAAAAUAAAAUACGCAGUCACAAAAAAAUGAAAAAAUAAAUGGGGUGAGAGAGGCUCGAACUCUCGACCUCAGGAUCACCCACUUUAGCUAUGAGACCUCCAUUGUGAUAACAACUGGUCCUAGACCUAUAAGUACAGGAUGUUGUAAACCAGUUCUUUUAACCUCAUGGACGAACAAAAGGGUAGUCUGAGUUGUGCCAAAAGAGACCCAGCACCAUUUCUUUUUUCUGUCAACUUGGACGGAGUUGAACUGCGAGCCAGGCUUGAGGUCAGCAGCAUCCAUCACCACCUCAUUCCUUUUGAACGGGGGAAGGAAUCACUAGCUCCUACUCCUAUUCCUACAGCAUACGGAUAAAGAUGAACCAACCUGUCCUAUACUACUACGUACUAUGAACCUCUUUUUUUUUUUGCGGGGGACACGUACUAUGAACCUCAACCGUGUCACCACUCACCAGCCAUGAGAUGAGAGUCGUCGAGGCGACACAUGGUUAGGAUUCCACCUCGUCUUUGUCUGCGAUUCUCUUCCUGUAGGUUACCCGAUCAACUACACAAGAUAAGAUAAUGGACCGUCUGGAAUGAGCGAAACGCAAGGGUCUUCAAGCAAAAGUGUGCCCCUCCACCUACAUUGCUUGACUCCAUCGAUACUGAGGCAAACCUUUGGGUCAUCGCUGGUGCAAAAAAAUUAGGGUCUCUUAUUUUACGAGAGUGAUCUCAUGCCGUGUAUUGAGUGACUUGUAACAAACUCUUUCUUUCUUAAUUAAUGAAUGAGGCAAAGCUUUUGCCUCCGUUUCGAAAAAAAAAAGAUAAGAUAAUGGAGCUAGGUGGAUGUGGGCAGCGUGGGGAAGAAGGGGAAACUUCACAUGGCAGGCUGGGAAGCCCCUUUGUCGACCAAGGGCAACAGGAGACACACCAUACGGUGGCAAUGCACAACGAACUGAUGACAUACAUGUCUUGGCCUCUUUGAGCAACUCCAGCGUGGUGACCCAUUUUAUCCGCAGGCGUCCGUUUGGAUCGGCGCGGACACAAAAAUCGGCUCAAUGCGCCGACCCAAACGGACGCGCUUCCGCUUGGCGUCCGUCUGCCGACCCAUUUCCGUUCCAUUUUUGAGCCGGAUUUACGUCGGCGCGGACAGAGGCGGACGCGCGCGCGCCUUCUCCUCCUCCGAGCACGCUGGUGGUGGCAGCUUCCACCAUUUUUCUCCACCCCCCCAGAAACCCUCCCGCCCGCGUGCGCUCCCGGUCCAUCACCGCCAUGGACGACGACCUCGACGCCGACGCCGGCCUCGCCUCCCUCGCCUCGUCCGGCUGCCGACCGCCCCCUCCGGCAAAGGCAAGCCUCGCGCCCCCCGCAAGACCGCCGUGCCCAAGCCGAAGAAGGCGCCGACGUCCGAACAACGGGCAAGGGAGUCGCCCAAGAGGAAGGACUGGAGGCACGCGGCGGACACGAGGGAUGAAGUCAUCGCGACGGCCGCCGUCGCCGCCGCCGCGCAGCAGGAGGUCACCAACGCCCGCAUUGCGGCGGCAACGAGGGAGGGGCUCUAUAUGCUAGGGUUAAACCCUAGCCAGCACGGCCUCGUUAACGCCGUCGUGGCCGUGGCCAGCACCGGCUCAUAUGCAUUUCCUCGGAUGGUGCUACCUGACUCGCCCCGCAUGUCGGCUUGCACCCUGAUGCCCGGCUUUCACGUCUACCCGCAGGCCUCCCGCCUCUCCGGGGAGUGCGCGCCCGAGGUGAGCAUGGUCGCGCCUUCCACGCCCAUCGACCUCAACGCUACACCGGUGGCCGGUGGCUCGUCAUCCGGAGGCGCGAGGAAACGCGCGCGGCAGAUGCCAGCUGACGUGCUGCCGGGCGCACGCAACCUAUUUGAUAGAAUGCCGGCCGCCGGCGACGAGGACUACAUGCAGAACAUGAUCUUCGAGGGUGGUGCGCAGGCCGCUGGCUACGAUCCUGACGAGACACAAAGCCAGGACGGGCGAGGGGCGCUCACGCCGUUCGCUGGCUACAAUGAAGAUCAGGCGGCCUUCAUGCGUGAUCAGGUCGGCCUGGACAUGGGUGGCUUCCCUCUCGACCACGAGUUUCUGGAGGACUACGGGCAAGAGGAAGAGGACGAGUGCGACAUCGAAGGGGAGCCUUUGUUCGAGGACGAGCUCACCAACCAAGCCGCCGUGGCGAAGCUGAAGCGCAAGAGCAAGCUGUAAUGCCCCGAGACCGACGCUUCAGACGCCUUCCAUUUUCUUCAUUGUCGCUGUGUGUUUUAUUUAUUUGUUGCAUUCAUCAUCGCAUCAUUCACAUUGCAUCGGCACUCCGUUGCUGUCAUGUUUUAAAACUUGCAUUCGUUCGUCGUUGCCGUUUCUUCCCUUGCCUUCGUCACCCUCUCUCUGACCGCUUUGUCUUCAUUGGCCUUUCGUCAAAACUCCUUGCGCGCGUCUGAAACUUACCCGAACCCGAACCGGUCUGUCGUCACCGUUGGAUUCGGAUCAUCUCCAAACAUCCCUCUAAUAUCUUCGGUUUAUUAUUUGAUCUCUCUUAACCUUUUUAUCUCGACCGCCUGAUGUAAAUCGGAGUGUUCGAUUACCCCUAACCAAAACCCUCUUACUAUUUAAACUGUCCAACCCUAGCCCUAGCCUGUCCAAUCUCCACCAAAUCCCCACGCCGCCGCCACUCUCUCCCUUGGUUUCAGCACCGAGCCAACCACCAUCCAUCUCCGAUCCUCCUCCCUUAAACCCGCGGCCUCCGACCACCUCCCGUGUUUUCGGCCACGAGCAGGAGCCCCUGCCUCUGCUUCGUCUUGACCGCAAGCCACCGAAGCACCAGGGUCCCCCGUGCCCUUCCUCUCCAACCUUCCUUCGUCCAGGAGCCGAGCUCCUCGAUCCAUCCCCGCGACCCUGCACCUCCGACCUCGAGCGCCUCCUCGCCGUCGCCUGCACCUCCAUGGCCUCGCUACCGCGCCGCUCCAGUGACCCAGCCGCUCCGGCGACCUCGACAACCAGCAUGACCAGCCCCGUCGCCCCUCUCCUUCCUUCCUCCAUUUCUUCUCUCUCGCUCCCUCUGAUGGUGUCGCGACACCGCCGUUUUGCAGGAAUCCUGCCGCCCAUGGAGCUCCUGGAGGUUCCCGUCGCCUCCGCCUCGUUCCAGGGAGGGAAGCCCUCACGCCCGCUCCUCCCGUCUGCCCGAGCGCCGCCGCCUCGUGACCCCGCAUCCCUCGCUGCCGGUGUUUUCUUCCCCUGCAUCCUCUACUUGUUAGUUCGCUUUGAAUAAAACUCCUCCAGCAAGGCCCAACCUUGAUUUUACCAUUUGCCUCACCACCACCUACUUUUCCCUUGGGAGUUGCUCUCUCGAGGGUCAUCUUUAUUUUAGCCCCCCCGGGCCAGUGCUUCUCUAAGUGCUGGUCCGAACCGAGCAGCCUGCGGGGCCCCCUCGGGGAAACUCGAGGUCUGGUUUUACUCGUAGCCUGACUUAUCCGGUGUUGCCCUGAGAACGAGAUAUGUGCAGCUCCUAUCGGGAUUGUCAGUGCAUCGGGCGGCUUUGCUGGUCUUGUUUUACCAUUGUCGAAAUGUCUUGUAAACCGGGAUUUCGAGUCUGAUCGGGUCUUCCUGGGAGAAGGUUUAUCCUUCAUUGAUCGCGAGAGCUUAUCAUGGGCUAAGUUGGGACACCCCUGCAGGGUAUAAACUUUCGAAAGCCGUGCCCGCGGUUAUGUGGCAGAUGGGAAUUUUUUAAUGUUCGGUUGUAGAUAACUUGACACCUGAUACGAAUUAAAAUGCAUCAACCGCGUGUGUAGCCGUGAUGGUCUCUUUUCGGCGGAGUUCGGGAAGUGAACACGGUUUUGGGUUAUGUUUGACGUAAGUAGGAGUUCAGGAUCACCUCUUGAUCAUUGCUAGCUUCACGACCAUUCCAUUUACUCUCUUCUCGCUCUUAUUUGUGUAUGUUAGACACCAUAUAUGCUUAGUCACUGCUGCAACCUCACCACUUUACCCCUUCCUUACCCAUUAAGCUUUGCUAGUCUUGAUACCCAUGGUAAUGGGAUUGCUGAGUCCUCGUGGCUCAUAGAUUACUACAACAACAGUUGUAGGUACAGGUGGUUGCGAUGAUCAUGACGCGAGGGCUAUGUUUGCUUGUUUUGGAUUUCUUCUUCUGCUUCUUCUUCGAUCAGGGGAUAGGUUCCAGGUCGGCAGCCUGGGCUAGCAGGGUGGAUGUCGUUUGAGUUUCUGUUUGUGUUUCAUCCGUAGUCGGAUGGUGCUCUUAUGUAUGAUGAUGUUGUAUUCGUGUGGCAUUGUAUGCCUCUUGUAUGUAUCCCCAUCUAUUAUGUAAUGUUGAUGUAAUGAUAUCCACCUUGCAAAAGCGUAUCAAUAUGCGGUUCUACCCUUGGUGGGACCUUCGAGCCUCUUUAGGAUAGUAUCGCAUAUUGGGCGUGACAAGUUGGUAUCAGAGCCUCGACCGACCAUAGAAGCCCCCUUGAUUGUUGGCCGUUGUUGAGUCUAGAAAAAAAAACUAUUUUGAGUCUUAGGAUUAUAUAUAUCGGAGAGUAGGAUUCUUUUUACUCCUCAGCCCCUUCGUCGCUCUGGUGAGGUCUCGUGACGUAGAUGUUUUGUCUUUCCUCUCCUCAAAUUUCACCAAUUUUUUUAGGAUCUCGCGGGUAUCUUGGGAUCGUUUUGAUAUUCUUAUGAUGAGAACAUUGUUCUUGGUGCCUCCUGACAUUUAGGGGUUGUGGCAGUGUCCCGGGGAGUUGAGCUCCAAGGGCAGUUCUGGAAUACCUGAGUUUUGCCGACAUCGAAAAUCUCUUUUAUGCAAUUGUUGGUGAGAUAACCUCGACGCCACCCAGUACUGGGGCGGGAGUUCAGGAGUAUUGCCAUAGCUCGUAUAACAGAUGCUUUUCGAAGGUUGAGGUACACGAUUUCUGAAGGUUUCUUGGUUAUGUGUUGAUGGAUGGAUACAACUUGGAUGUAGGUAUUGUUAGUUUGGGUGAGUUAUAUUGCUUCCCCUAUAUCCCCAACACCAGAUUGCAUAACUAGAAAGUUUCGGGAGUUUAUAGGUGGGAAUUCAAGUAGCUCCUAGAAUAUCUUUUCAACAGAUGCAUGAUAUGAGAUUGGGGUUCGACGUCUAGUGGUCCGCCUAUCCAUGGUCUUUUUUACAAUGGUCUCGUUGUGUCUUAAAGAGCCCUUGGCUAUGCUGGUUCGGGGACACUUCGUAUGUCAUGUGCACUACCUUGUACAUGAUGGUGCUGUACGAUCGAGCCCGUGUGGGCCCCACCACGAAAACUUCAGAUGAAAUCUCUAUCAUAUGUUUGUUCCGGCUUAUUCUGCAAGCCAAAUCCUUUGUUUUGUUUUAUUUGUGGUAUUCGAGUUGCUUCAAAGUCAAAUGUUGAAUCCAUACCUUUCCUAAACAGUGUUCUCAUAUUGCUAUGUGAAUACUAAUCCUUCUUGACCAUCGAGGUCGUCAUGUUAAUUCUUUUCCAACCGGCGUGCUUCUCUUCAAGUGGAUCCGAUCAUUUCAACAUUUUUGAGAUCAAUUCUAAGUUUUCUCAAUGAUAUCCGUUUCAUCCGUCCCCAAGUUGCCUUUGUUUUCCCGCCCUCCCACCCUUUUUCUUCAAGGACUCAGAUUUUUUAAUCAUGUAUCCUUUUAUUUGUGGGAAGUCUCUUCAUUCUUUUCUUUCAAUGUUCUUAUCCGGUGAUUUCCCAUGAAGAUGCUCAACAGUUUCAAGUUCAUCCUUCAUUGUUGUUUCUUCUCCGGUGGAUCCAAUUCAAGCUUUCAAUAUUCAUCAUAUUCCUUUCCUCGUGUCAAUUGCUUUGUCAUGUUUGGUGCACCUCUUAAUUAUUCACCUCCCUCCUUUUCUUCUCCGGAGUAAUUAAGAUUAUCUCAGAAGAUUCAAGUUUCUAUUCUUAAUCCUUUUUAGCUAUUUCGAGGUUGUUAUCUAAUUCAAGCCAUUUAACCGGUGCAAUCUCCCUUUCAAGUAAUCAUUUCAACGGUGUUUCUUUUUAGUGGGCCCUAACCCACAUGUAUUUUCCCAGGAUCUUAUCUAAGUCUUCUAAUUUAUCCGGAGUGAUUCCCGAAGUCUUUCGAAGUUUGACGUAAGAAUGAAUUCUCAUCAGUCAGAUGUUUUCCAAGAUCAAAUUCAAAUUAAUUUUCAGUGUUGGCUCAACCUCUUUGUUUUUCAUUCUGGAGUGUCUCAUCUCGUCGUCAUUCUCGGAUUUUGAAGACCGAAGAAGAGUUUACAUCUCAAUCUUGCCCGUUCUCCCGAAGAUUCGUGGUUCUAACUUCUUGUUAUCCUCUCGACUUAUUCCGUUAGUCGGAAAUUCCUUUUCUCAACCAUCCGGAGCAUUUCGGGAGUUGCUUCCUUUCUUGAUAAUCCGAAUGCCAUCAUUUCUGAAUAUUACUCAUUCUCAACCUUCAACUCUUGUUCUCCAAAUUUAACCGGUGCAUCAUUCAAAUAUUCUCUAAUAAGCUCAUGAUCUCUUCGUUCACUUGUAUCUAAAUCCCCUCAAGUAUCUUCAUUCGUUUUCCAAUUCUUCCCAGUGAAUUGUGCCUUUGCUAUGUUCAUUUUCAAUUCUUACGGUGGUUCGUUUAACAUUCCUCUUCCGUUGUUAUCAUAUAAAUUAAUUCAUUCGUUGUUUCCAAAUCCCACCGGUGGUUCCAUCUAUACCUUCUCAAGUUUGCGCUAUAUCUCUAUCUGUAAUCAUUUUUCAAUGAGAAUAAGUAGUAUGCCAAAUCCAUUGCUUGUCAUCAAUUUAAUUUGAUGAAGGAUAAGCAUACAAUAAAUCUUAUUCUUAUUUCCUCGAGGUGAUUCAAUUCUUUUCUUCCGGAGAUUGUUCAUGAUGAAGUAAUUCUCGGUUCUAGUGUUUCAUCUUUUCCUUUUACGGAGUUCCAAGUUUUCUCGGUUAUCUCGUCACGAAGCUCCAUCUAAAUCAUCGCAAGGCUUCACCUUGUGUUUUCAACUUCUCUUUCUUUUUAUCAUCCUUUUAUUACCGGAGUUCUUCAUGGAGGCUCUACAUGGUGGUUCAUCAAGGAUUUAAUUCAUUCUUGAAUUGUUCUUCAAGAUUUCUUUCAAAGUUAUGAUCUGCCAAGCUAUAAUCAAAGAUAAACAUGGUGCUCAACACAUGUUUUGUUUUGAGGAGUUCAAGCAUUCUUCAUCUCGCAUUCCGAAGUGCAAGUAUUCCUACCUUAUCUUGUGAGAUGGUGAUAUGUCACUCUUGACAAUUUCCUUCAUGUUUCAUGAUUCAUAUGUUGUCAAGAAUGAGGUAUUUUAAAUCCAUCAUUUUCUCUUCGUUCAAGAGAUCUUUUCGACCAAUCAACUUCUUCGUUGGAGUUAUCUUGUGUCAGAUUUCACCUAAAGCCUUUCCUUAAGGGUUGUUGCUUUUUGUGGUGAUUAUGCAUGACCCAAGCUUGCUCUUUAUCCUCUUGGUGGAAGAAGUUUUCAUCUCUUUGGUGCUCUCAAUCAAAUCAAUGGUUUCCAUUACUGGAUGGUUUGCACCUCAUAGUCUUGAGAUGUUUUCCAUAAGCCCACUACAAGCUUAUUCAUUUCGUUAUUGGUUUUUCUAACAACUCCGUUAUAACCUUCUGAGAAGGGUGCCUUCCGAGCUCAUUUGUGGCAGAAGUUGGCAUUUUCUUCUCCAUUCUAUUAUUCCAAUGAUCUAUCUUCUAUUCUUUCUUCCUGAGGCAUUAUGAUGUUGCUCUUUUCACUCAUCAUCUUGUUUUGUCAAGAUCAUGCUCUUCUCCUUGCUUCUUUGUUUAGCCGGAGUGUCGUGUUUUCAUUUGAGUUCUCUCAUCUUAUCAAGUUUUGCCUCCUUCCUCAACCGGAGAGCUGUCUGAAAUCUUUCUUACCCCUUGUGCCAUUCUUUCAAUAGUUCCGAAGGUAGUGUGUUGUUGAUCUCAUCAAGUAUCCUCUCAUCUUUUCAAGUUCAUGUUCAAUUCCUUCCAUUUAUAGUCGGAGUGCUGUCAAAAUUAUAUCACUCUUAUUCAUUCUUAUCUCGUUUCAACCAGAGUGGUUUCAAUUCCUUCUUGUCCAUUGUGCUCGUCAUUCAUAGCUUUGCAACCUCCAACAUUAACAUGGUGUUCCUUGUUUCUCUUUUCUACUGGAAUGCUCUCAAUUUCGUUCAACUCUAUUGUGUUAUUCUUUCAAGUUUUCAACCUCUCGAGGUUCAUUGGUUUCACUCGUUUGUCAAAGAAGCAACUUAGUUUUACCUCUUAUCUUCCUCUUCCUUUUCCCUCUGGUGCCAUCCUAGAUCUCGGGACGAGAUCCUCUUGUAGUGGUGGAGUGUUGUAACGCCCCGAGACCGACGCUUCAGAUGCCUUCCAUUUUCUUCAUUGUCGUCGUGUGUUUUAUUUAUUUGUUGCAUUCAUCAUCGCAUCAUUCACAUUGCAUCGACACUCCAUUGCCGUCAUGUUUUAAAACUUGCAUUCGUUCGUCAUUGCCGUUUCUUCCCUUGCCUUCGUCACCCUCUCUCUGACCGCUUUGUCUUCAUUGGCCUUUCGUCAAAACUCCUUGCGCGCGUUCGAAACUUACCCGAACCCGAACCGGUCUGUCGUCACCGUUGGAUUCGGAUCAUCUCCAAACAUCCCUCUAAUAUCUUCGGUUUAUUAUUUGAUCUCUCUUAACCUUUUUAUCUCGACCGCCUGAUGUAAAUCGGAGGGUCCGAUUACCCCUAACUAAAACCCUCUUACUAUUUAAACUGUCCAACCCUAGCCCUAGCCUGUCCAAUCUCCACCAAAUCCCCACGCCGCCGCCACUCUCUCCCUUGGUUUCAGCGCCGAGCCAAUCACCAUCCAUCUUCGAUCCUCCUCCCUUAAACCCGCGGCCUCCGACCACCUCCCGUGUUUUUCGGCCACGAGCAGGAGCCCCUGCCUCUGCUUCGUCUCGACCGCAAGCCACCGGAGCACCAGGAUCCCCCGUGCCCUUCCUCUCCAACCUCCCUUCGUCCAGGAGCCGAGCUCCUCGAUCCAUCCCCUCGACCAUGCACCUCCGACCUCGAGCGCCUCCUCGCCGACGCUUGCACCUCCAUGGCCUCGCUACCGCGUCACUCCAGCGACCCAGCUGCUCUGGCGACCUCGACAACCAGCAUGACCAGCCCUAUCGCCCCUCUCCUUCCUUCCUCCAUUUCUUCUCUCUUGCUCCCUCCGAUGGUGUCGCAAUGCCGCCGUUUUGCAGGAAUCCUGCCGCCCAUGGAGCUCCUGGAGGUUCUCGUCGCCUCUGCCUCGUUCCAGGGAGGGAAACCCUCACGCCCGCUCCUCCCGUCUGCCCGAGCGCCGCCGCCUCGCGACCCCGCAUCCCUCGCUGCCGGUCUCUGCUUCCCCUGCAUCCUCUACUUUGAGCAGGAGGCAAGCACCACGCCAAGGCCGCCAAGAGGAUCCCGACGCCACCAGCUUGCCUCUGCUCCACCUCCCCCGCCUUCGGUCGCCAUCUCCGGCGAGUGUAGACGCCGGUGAAGCCCCGCAGGUCGCCAUGCCCUGCCAUCUCCGUCUCUCUCUCUUCUUACUUGCCUUGUUUUCCCCUCUAAAGGUUCUGUCCUUUUCUUCAGACAACAGCACCAUAGCCGCCCGUCAAGUUCGCGUCUCGGCCCCGAUCUCGACCGGAUCUCCUCUGCUCCGCCACCUGGCUGCCGAAUCCGCCCUGUUCCGGCCGGUUCCCGCCGACCCCGGCGCCAGGACCUUCGGUGAUGCCGCUUUCUGCGUCGCCUUGAACCUGCAGUUGCCUCUGUUCUUCAGUAAUGAGAAGGAGCAGCUCGCUCGCCUCGCGUUGACCAGUCGCCUAGGCCGCCAGCUCGCCCGCUUCGGCCUGCCUCCUCCACCGCCCUGGGCUAGGCCCAGCUGGGUGAGCCUCCAGCGCCCAUGCUCCCAUCGGGCCAGUCAGAUUCGGCCCAUUCAUGUUUUUUUUCUGUUGCUGUGAAUUUAGCUAAUUUCCAGAGAGUGCCAGUUUUGCAGAAAAACCCUCUUUGUUCAUGCAUCAUUAAUUCACAAACCAUGCAUCAGAAUUAAAUAAACUAUAUAUGUAAGAUGCUCAGUUUUUCAUGUACUUUCAUAAUAUGAUGCUUUCAUCCAUGUUUAAAAUUUAAAAAAUGUUGUUUGUUUAAAUUUUCUCAAAUGCCAUGUUAAAAUGAUUUAUUUCAUAACUAAAUAACUGUAGCUCCAAUUUUAAUAAACUAUAUAUGUAAAUGGGAUGGAAAAAUGCCUAGUUUAACAUGGUGCACUUUAUUUUCCUGUUUAACAACAAUAAAAUAUGUUUUAGGCCAGAACAGUACCAAAUUCAUAUUUUGCAUUUGGGGAUUUUCCAGAAUUGUUGUUUGUUACUUCCGGCCUCAUUUAAACUUGCCUAGAUAGGUAGUUUCAUUAUGUUUCACCUCUUGCCAUGUUUAGCAACAUUUAAUAUUGUUGUGUACCUAAACGAGAGCGAACUAAAUAACUCGAAUCUGGUGUUUUGUCAAUAUGCAACUUGUUGCAUAUUGAGCUCCACUUAACUUGUAGUUUUGUUCGUUGGACUUUUCCAUGCCAUGCCUCUUUAAACCGGACAUGCAUCAUACUUGAUUGUGCAUCAUGCCAUGGUUAUGUGAUGAUUGUUUACCAUGUCGUUUGCUUCUUUCCGGGUUGCUUCUCUCGCUAGCUUCGUUUUGUUCCGGAGUUGUGAGGAUUCGUUCGACCACGUCCGGUUGUCUUCUUCACGGACUCGUUCUUCUUCCUCGCGGGAUUUCAGGCAAGAUGACCGUCACUUUGGAUCUCAUUACUAUCAUUGCUAUGCUAGUUGUUUCGUUCUAUCGCUAUGUUGUGCUACCUAUCACUUGUUCUUCAAUCCUCCCAAUUUGCCAUGUCAGCCUCUAACCAUUUUCACCCUUCCUAGCAAACCAUUGCUUGGCUAUGUUACCGCUUUGCUCAGCCCCUCUUAUAGCGUUGCUAGUUGCAGGUGAAGUUGAAGAUUGCUCCAUGGUGGACAGGAUUAUGUUGGGAUAUCACAAUAUCUCUUAUUUAAUUAAUGCAUCUAUAUACUUGGUAAAGGGUGGAAGACUCGGCCUUAUGCCUAGUGCUUUGUUCCACUCUUGCCGCCCUAGUUUCCGUCAUACUGGUGUUAUUUUCCCGGAUUUUGCGUGCCUUACGCGGUUGGGUGAUUUAUGGGACCCCCUUGACAGUUCGCUCUGAAUAAAACUCCUCCAGCAAGGCCCAACCUUGGUUUUACCAUUUGCCUCACCACCACCUACUUUUACCUUGGGAGUCGCUCUCUCGAGGGUCAUCUUUAUUUUAGCCCCCCCGGGCCAGUGCUUCUCUAAGUGCUGGUCCGAACCGAGCAGCCUGCGGGGCCCCCUCGGGGAAACUCGAGGUCUGGUUUUACUCGUAGCUUGACUUAUCCAGUGUUGCCCUGAGAAGGAGAUAUGUGCAGCUCCUAUCGGGAUUGUCGACGCAUCGGGCAGCUUUGCUGGUCUUGUUUUACCAUUGUCGAAAUGUCUUGUAAACCGGGAUUCCGAGUCUCAUCGGGUCUUCCUGGGAGAAGGUUUAUCCUUCAUUGAUCGCGAGAGCUUAUCAUGGGCUAAGUUGGGACACCCCUGCAGGGUAUAAACUUUCGAAAGCCGUGCCUGCGGUUAUGUGGCAGAUGGGAAUUUGUUAAUGUCCGGUUGUAGAUAACUUGACACCUGAUACGAAUUAAAACGCAUCAACCGCGUGUAGCCGUGAUGGUCUCUUUUCGGCGGAGUCCGGGAAGUGAACACGGUUUUGGGUUAUGUUUGACGUAAGUAGGAGUUCAAGAUCACCUCUUGAUCAUUGCUAGCUUCACGACCGUUCCAUUUGCUCUCUUCUCGCUCUUAUUUGUGUAUGUUAGCCACCAUAUAUGCUUAGUCACUGCUGCAACCUCACCACUUUACCCCUUCCUUACCCAUUAAGCUUUGCUAGUCUUGAUACCCAUGGUAAUGGGAUUGCUGAGUCCUCGUGGCUCACAGAUUACUACAACAACAGUUGCAGGUACAGGUGGUUGCGAUGAUCAUGACGCGAGGGUGAUGUUUGCUUGUUUUGGAUUUCUUCUUCUGCUUCUUCUUCGAUCAGGGGAUAGGUUCCAGGUCGGCAGCCUGGGCUAGCAGGGUGGAUGUCGUUUGACUUUCUAUUUGUGUUUUAUCCGUAGUCGGAUGGUGCUCUUAUGUAUGAUGAUGUUGUAUUCGUGUGGCAUUGUAUGGCUCUUGUAUGUAUCCCCAUCUAUUAUCUAAUGUUGAUGUAAUGAUAUCCACCUUGCAAAAGCGUAUCAAUAUGCGGUUCUACCCUUGGUGGGACCUUCGAGUCUCUUUAGGAUAGUAUCACAUAUUGGGUGUCACAAGUUGGUAUCAAAGCCUCGACCGACCAUAGGAGCCCCCUUGAUUGUUGGCCAUUGUUGAGUCUAGAAAAAAAACUAUUUUGAGUCUUAGGAUUAUAUAUAUCGGAGAGUAGGAUUCUUUUUACUCCUCAGCCCCUUCGUCGCUCUGGUGAGGUCUCCUGACGUAGAUGUUUUGUCUUUCCUCCUCAAAUUUCACCAAUUUUUUUAGGAUCUCGCGGGUAUCUUGGGAUCGUUUCGAUAUUCUUAUGACGAGAACAUUGUUCUUGGUGCCUCCUGACAUUUAGGGGUUGUGGCAGUGUCCCGGGGAGUUGAGCUCCAAGGUAUUGUCGUCAUAAUUUUAUCGUUGCAGUUCUGGAAUACCUGAGUUUUGCUGACAUCGAAAAUCUCUUUUAUGCAGUUGUUGGUGAGAUAACCUCGAGGCCACCCAGUACUAGGGCGGGAGUUCGGGAGUAUUGCCAUAGCUCGUAUAACAAAUGCUUUUCGAAGGUUGAGGCACAUGAUUUCCGAAGGUUUCUUGGUUAUGUGUUGACCGAUGGAUACAACUUAAAUGUAGGUAUUGUUAGUUUGGGUGAGUUAUAUUGCUUCCCCUGUAUCCCCAACACCAAAUUGCAUAACCAUAAAGUUUCGGGAGUUUAUAGGUGGGAAUUCAAGUAGCUCCUAGAAUAUCUUUUCGACAGAUGCAUGAUAUGAGAUUGGGGUUCGACGUCUAGUGGUCCGCCUAUCCACGGUCUUUUUUACAGUGGUCUCGUUGUGUCUUAAAGAGCCCUUGGCUAUGCUGGUUCGGGGACACUUCGUAUGUCAUGUGCACUGCCUUGUACAUGAUGGUGCUGCACGAUCGAGCCCGUGUGGGCCCCACCACGAAAACUUCGGACGGAAUCUCUAUCAUAUGUUUGUUCCGGCUUAUUCUUCAAGCCAAAUCCUUUGUUUUGUUUUAUUUGUGGUAUUCAAGUUGCUUCGAAGUCAAAUGUUGAAUCCAUAGCUUUCCUAAACAGUGUUCUCAUAUUGCUAUGUGAAUACUAAUCCUUCUUGACCAUCGAGGUUGUCAUGUUAAUUCUUUUCCAACUGGCGUGCUUCUCUUCAAGUGGAUCCAAUCAUUUCAACAUUUGUGAGAUCAAUUCUAAGUUUUCUCAACGAUAUCCAUUUCAUCCGUCCCCAAGUUGCCUUUGUUUUCCCGCCCUCCCACCCUUUUCCUUCAAGGACUCAGAUUUUUAAUCAUGUAUCCUUUUAUUUGUGGGAAGGCUCUUCAUUCUUUUCUUUCAAUGUUCUUAUCCGGUGAUUUCCCAUGAAGAUGCUCAACAGUUUCAAGUUCAUCCUUCAUUGUUGUUUCUUCUCCGGUGGAUCCAAUUCAAGCUUUCAAUAUUCAUCAUAUUCCUUUCCUCGUGUCAAUUGCUUUGUCAUUUUUGGUGCACCUCUUAAUUAUUCACCUCCCUCUUUUUCUUCUCCGGAGUGCUUAAGAUUAUCUCAGAAGAUUCAAGUUUCUAUUCUUAAUCCUUUUUAGCUAUUUCGAGGUUGUUAUCUCAUUCAAGCCAUUUAAACAGUGCAAUCUCCCUUUCAAGUAAUCAUUUCAACGAUGUUUCUUUUUAGUGGGCCCUAACCCACAUGUAUUUUCCCAGGAUCUUAUCUAAGUCUUCUAAUUUAUCCAGAGUGAUUCCCGAAGUCUUUUGAAGUUUGACGUAAGAAUGAAUUCUCAUCAGUCAGAUGUUUUCCAAGAUCGAUUUCAAAUUAUUUUUCAGUGUUCGCUCAACCUCUUUGUUUUUCAUUCUGGAGUAUCUCAUCUCGUCGUCAUUCUCGGAUUUUGAAGACUGAAGAAGAGUUUUCCUCUCAAUCUUGCCCGUUCUCCCAAAGAUUCGUGGUUCUAGAUUCUUGUUAUCCUCUCGAAUUAUUCCGUUUGUCGGAAAUUCCUUUUCUCAACCAUCCGGAGCAUUUCAGGAGUUGCUUCCUUUCUUGAUAAUCCGAAUGCCAUCAUUUCUGAAUAUUACUCAUUCUCAACCUUCAACUCUUGUUCUCCAAAUUUAACCGGUGCAUCAUUCAAGUAUUCUCUAAUAAGCUCAUGAUCUCUUUGUUCACUUGUAUCUAAAUCCCCUCAAGUAUCUUCAUUCAUUUUCCAACUCUUCCCAGUGAAUUGUGCCUUUGCUAUGUUCAUUUUCAAUUCUUACGGUGGUUCGUUUAACAUUCCUCUUCCGUUGUUAUCAUAUAAAUUAAUUCAUUCGUUGUUUCCAAAUCCCACCGGUGGUUCCAUCUAUACCUUCUCAAGUUUGCGCUAUAUCUCUAUCUGUAAUCAUUUUUCAAUGAGAAUAAGUAGUAUGCCAAAUCCAUUGCUUGUCAUCAAUUUAAUUUGAUGAAGGAUAAGCAUACAAUAAAUCUUAUUCUUAUUUCCUCGAGGUGAUUCAAUUCUUUUCUUCCGGAGAUUGUUCAUGAUGAAGUAAUUCUCGGUUCUAGUGUUUCAUCUUUUCCUUUUCCGGAGUUCCAAGUUUUCUCGGUUAUCUCAUCACGAAGCUCCAUCUAAAUCAUCACAAGGCUUCACCUUGUGUUUUCAACUUCUCUUUCUUUUUAUCAUCCUUUUAUUACCGGAGUUCUUCAUGGAGGCUCUACAUGGUGGUUCAUCAAGGAUUUAAUUCAUUCUUGAAUUGUUCUUCAAGAUUUCUUUCGAAGUUAUGAUCCGCCAAGCUAUAAUCAAAGAUAAACAUGGUGCUCAACACAUGUUUUGUUUUGAGGAGUUCAAGCAUUCUUCAUCUUGCAUUCCGAAGUGCAAGUAUUCCUACCUUAUCUUGUGAGAUGGUGAUAUGUCACUCUUGACAAUUUCCUUCAUGUUUCAUGAUUCAUAUGUUGUCAAGAAUGAGGUAUUUUAAAUCCAUCAUUUUCUCUUCGUUCAAGAGAUCUUUUCAACCAAUCAACAUCUUCGUUGGAGUUAUCUUGUGUCAGAUUUCACCUAAAGCCUUUCCUUAAGGGUUGUUGCUAUUUGUGGUGAUUAUGCAUGACCCAAGCUUGCUCUUUAUCCUCUUGGUGGAAGAAGUUUUCAUCUCUUUGGUGCUCUCAAUCAAAUCAAUGGUUUCCAUUACUGGCUAGUUGUCACCUCAUAGUCUUGAGAUGUUUUCCAUAAGCCCACUACAAGCUUAUUCGUUUCAUUGUUGGUUUUUCUAACAACUCCAUUAUAACCUUCUGAGAAGGGUGCCUUCCAAUCUCAUUUGUGGCAGAAGUUGGCAUUUUCUUGUCCAUUCUGUUAUUCCAAUGAUAUACCUUCUAUUCUUUCUUCCCGAGGCAUUGUGAUGUUGCUCUUUUCACUCAUCAGCUUGUUUUGUCAAGAUCAUGCUCUUCUCCUUGCUUCUCCGUUUAGCUGGAGUGUCGUGUUUUCAUUCGAGUUCUCUCAUCUUAUCAAGUUUUGCCUCCUUCCUCAACCGGAGAGCUGUCUGAAAUCUUUCUUACGCCUUGUGCCAUUCUUUCAAUAGUUCCGGAGGUAGUGUGUUGUUGAUCUCAUCAAGUAUCCUCUCAUCUUUUCAAGUUCAUGUUCAAUUCCUUCCAUUUACAGUCGGAGUGCUGUCAAAAUUAUAUCACUCUUAUUCAUUCUUAUCUCGUUUCAACCAGAGUGGUUUCAAUUCCUUCUUGUCGUCAUUCAUAGCUUUGCAACCUCCAACGUUAACAUGGUGUUCCUUGUUUCUCUUUUCUAUUGGAAUGCUCUCAAUUUCGUUCAACUCUAUUGUGUUAUUCUUUAAAGUUUUCAACCUCUCGAGGUUCAUUGGUUUCACUCGUUUGUCAAAGAAGCAACUUAGUUUUACCUCUUAUCUUCCUCUUCCUUUUUCCUCCGGUGCCAUCCUAGAUCUCGGGACGAGAUCCUCUUGUAGUGGUGGAGUGUUGUAACGCCCCGACACCGAUGCUUCAGACGCUUCCAUUUUCUUCAUUGUCGUCGUGUUUUAUUUAUUUGUUGCAUUCAUCAUCGCAUCAUUCACAUUGCAUCGGCACUCCGUUGCCGUCAUGUUUUAAAACUUGCAUUCGUUCAUCGUUGCCGUUUCUUCCCUUGCCUUCGUCACCCUCUCUCUGACCGCUUUGUCUUCAUUGGCCUUUCGUCAAAACUCCUUGCGCGCGUCCGAAACUUACCCGAACCCAAACCGGUCUGUCGUCACCGUUGGAUUCGGAUCAUCUCCAAACAUCCCUCUAAUAUCUUCGGUUUAUUAUUUGAUCUCUCUUAACCUUUUUAUCUCGACCGCCCGAUGUAAAUCGGAGGGUCCGAUUACCCCUAACCAAAACCCUCUUACUAUUUAAACUAUCUAACCCUAGCCCUAGCGUGUCCAAUCUCCACCAAAUCCCCACGCCGCCACCACUCUCUCCCUUGGUUUCAGCGCCGAGCCAACCACCAUCCAUCUUCGAUCCUCCUCCCUUAAACCCGCAGCCUCUGACCACCUCCCGUGUUUUUCGGCCACGAGCAGGAGCCCCUGCCUCUGCUUCGUCUCGACCGCAAGCCAUCGGAGCACCAGGGUCCCCCGUGCCCUUCCUCUCCAACCUCCCUUCGUCCAGGAGCCGAGCUCCUUGAUCCAUCCACGCGACCGUGCACCUCCGACCUCGAGCGCCUCCUCGCCGUCGCCUGUACCUCCAUGGCCUCGCUACCGCGCCGCUCCAGCGACCCAGGUGCUCCAGCGACCUCGACAACCAGCAUGACCAACCCCGUCGCCCCUCUCCUUCCUUCCUCCAUUUCUUCUCUCUCGCUCCCUCUGAUGGUGUCGUGACGCCACCGUUUUGCAGGAAUCUUGCCGCCCAUGGAGCUCCUGGAGGUUCCCGUCGCCUCCACCUCGUAUAGAGAGGGAAGCCCUCACGCCCGCUCCUCCUGUCUGCCCAAGCACCGCCGCCUCAUGACCCCGCAUCCCUCGCUGCCGGUCUCUGCUUCCCUUGCAUCCUCUACUUCGAGAAGGAGGCAAGCACCACGCCAAGGCCGCCAAGAGGAUCCCGACGCAGCCGGCUUGCCUCUGCUCCACCUCCCCCGCCUUCGGUCGCCAUCUCCGGCGAGUGUAGACGCCGGUGAAGCCCCGCAGGUCGCCAUGCCCUGCCAUCUCCAUCUCUCUCUUCUUCCUUGCCCUGUUUUCCCUUUUGAAGGUUCUGUCCUUUUCUUCAGACAACAGCACCAUAGUCGCCCGUCAAGUUCGUGUCCCAGCCUGGCUACCGAAUCCACCCCGUUUCGUUCGGUUCCCGCCGACCCCGGCGCCAGGACCUUCGAUGAUGCCGCUUUCUGUGUCGCCUUGAACUUGCAGCUGCCUCUGUUCUUCAGUAACGAGAAGGAGCAGCUCGCUCGCCUCGCGUUCACCAGUCGCCUAUGCCGCCAGCUCAUCCGCUUCGGCCUGCCUCCUCCACCGCCCUGGGCUAGGCCUAGCUGGGUGAGCCUCCAGUGCCCAUGCUCCCAUCGGGCCAGUCAGAUUCGGCCUGUUCAUGUUUUUUUUUCUGUUGCUGCGAAUUUAGCUAAUUUCCAGAGAGUGCCAGUUUUGCAGAAAAACCCUCUUUGUUCAUGCAUCAUUAAUUCACAAACCAUGCAUCAGAAUUAAAUAAACUAUAUAUGUAAGAUGCUCAGUUUUUCAUGGACUUUCAUAAUAUGCUGCUUUCAUCCAUGUUUAAAAUGUUAAAAAUGUUGUUUGUUUAAAUUUGUUCAAAUGCCAUGUUAAAAUGAUUUAUUUCAUAACUAAAUAACCGUAGCUCCAAUUUUAAUAAACUAUAUAUGUAAAUGUGGUGGAAAAAUGCCUAGUUUAACAUGGUGCACUUUAUUUUCCUGUUUAACAACAAUAAAAUAUGUUUUAGGGCAGAACAGUACCAAAUUGAUAAUUUGCAUUUGGGGAUUUUCCAGAAUUGUUGUUUGUUACUUCCGGCCUCAUUUAAACUUGCCUAGAUAGGUAGUUUCAAUAUGUUUCACCUCUUGCCAUGUUUAGCAACAUUUAAUAUUGUUAUGUACCUAAACGAGAGCGAACUAAAUAACUCGAAUGUGGUGUUUCGUCAAUAUGCAACUCGUUGCAUAUUGAGCUCCACUUAACUUGUAGUUUUGUUUGUUGCACUUUGCCAUGCCAUGCCUCUUUAAACCGGACAUGCAUCAUACUUGAUUGUGCAUCAUGCCAUGGUUAUAUGAUGAUUGUUUACCAUGUCGUUUGCUUCUUUCCGGGUUGCUUCUCUCGCUAGCUUCGUUUUGUUCCGGAGUUGUGAGGAUUCGUUCGACCACGUCCGGUUGUCUUCUUCACGGACUCGUUCUUCUUCCUCGCGGGAUUUCAGGCAAGAUGACCGUCACUUUGGAUCUCAUUACUAUCAUUGCUGUGCUAGUUGUUUCGUUCUAUCGCUAUGUUGUUGUUGUUGUUGUUCUUGUUGUUGUUGUUGUUGUUGUUGUUGUUGUUGUUNNNNNNNNNNNNNNNNNNNNNNNNNNNNNNNNNNNNNNNNNNNNNNNNNNNNNNNNNNNNNNNNNNNNNNNNNNNNNNNNNNNNNNNNNNNNNNNNNNNNUUGUUACUGUUGUUGCUGUUGUUGCACUUCCUGUCCUUCACGUGUGGUACACUACCCUCCCUUAAGUGAACAACCACACAUGCGCCAAAUUAUCAGAAACAUGUGAGAGUGUGUACAAAUAAAGAAUUUUAAUUUCAAUUAUCGAAAAGGUUUGAGAGUAUUACAAAGUUUGACUUUAGUCAAAUCUAAUAUGCGGAGUAAAUAAAAAUGGAGGGCUACUACGUCCAUCCGGGUUUUUAGUCCACACCAUUUUUUAAAUCAAAGUUAAUAGCUAGACAAAUAAAAUUACAGGGGAGCUGGAGACAAAGUUGUGAGAAGGCUUAGAAAUCAAUACAAAACUUAUGCUCUUAGUACCAACGUCGAUCCUUCUUCGAGGAAACAUUUGGUUCAUAGCCAAUUGUGUGAUAAAAUUGCACCAACGUGAAAGACGACUGUGUCUCCAACGCAACCAAGGUGAACUGACGAAGGAUAUCAUCUUGGUGCGUAACAAGAAAAGAGCACUGAUGGAAGACAUCUUGUUUUUCAUUGAAAAUCGAUUAGCUUCACCAGCCAACGCAACCACGAGGCGCAACCAUGAUCAUCGAUAGGUCAUCAUGGUGAUGCAUCAUCCAUUUGGCAUCAAGUUUGGGUGAGGCACCUAUGAAGUUCGACAAAUCCUCACUGUGGUCUGUUUCUUCUCAGUAAUCAAGCUCGAGGAAGGAAGAACCACAUGGCAGAGGACAAUGAGGCGGAACAACAAUGGCCAUCCAAUUUUGUGUAGUUCCACUAAAAUUGAGGAAGACAUGCCUGGGUAUGGAGACAUGCAUCGAUGUUUCCAAAAAUAUAAAAAAGGGUUAGCAACGACAUCUCAAUUGUCAAUAAGAAUUAAUGAAAAGUACACCAACAAACAGAAGCAUCAUAAUUAUCUUGAUGGGAACUAAACCAGGAUACCCGAGAAAAAAAGCAUUUCUUCAUUUAACCAGUGAUAGUACUGCCACCAUAUGGACAAUGACCGCACAACCACCAUGUACGUUUUUUCAAAACAACAUGUAUACCUCCACCGAGGCAUUAAUCGGGACAACUUUUGGAGUGGCAUUUCCUCUAUAAUAGUACUAGUAGGUGAUGUUGGACCAGCCGACGAACCCUAGCUACUAUGCAUGGGGAUCUGUGGAGUAGUCGCAUAGAAGAAAACCUGCACGCAGCGACCUGGGGAGCUGGACCAGUACAAGAAGUUAUACCUCAGGUGGGCGAGAUGCCGUUUAGGCGGGCGGGCGGGAUCUUCCCACACGACGGGAGCGAACAAGGGCGCGGAGGAUCUUCGUCCGCGCCAGCACCGGCUCCGAGACGACGGUGCGCAUCAGCUUCCUCCGUCGCCGACGGCGACAACGUCAAUGCUGCACCUCCUCACCUCUCACAUCGGACGGGAUUCGGCUGGAUCUGUGACCACCGGUGAGGAGAGAGAUAGAGUGGACACUGUCAUCUUGUUUUGAUAUGGAGAGGGUGAGAGAGCGAGACGCGAGAAACUCUAUCAAACAAGAGGCUAUAAUGGAGUAAAAAAAUCUCUCCAUAGCAGUGGUUUCAAAUAGAAUACGCGCGUUCCCGGAAAAAAGAAACGAAAAUUGGCGGACAAUUUUUUAAGGGUCUGUCUAGGACACAUCUAGAUGUUAUGUCACAUCAAAGUUGAUGUCCACUCUGUUUGUGGUCUUUUUUUGUCCUAGUUUUUUUGUUUCUUGUUGCUACAUUAUAUACUUGUGGGAGCUUAGAUGUGAUAUCCUUAAAUAACAUCUAGAUGUGAAUUAGACAAACUGAUUUUCUAACGUACCAAGAAAGAAAACUUGAUCAAAAACACGCCCCCGCUUCCAAGUCGCGAGAGUCAUCGCGCACACACACAUAGACAUAGACAUGCAUAUCCGUGUUUACAUAAAUUCUAUUUCCAUCUCCAUCUCCAAUCAUAUUUGUCCAACUGGCACAUUAUUUAUGUUGUUAAUUAUAUACGCAGCAAUAUUAACGUACAACAUCUCUUGUUUGCGCAUGUCCGGACCGCUACCACGGCCGGUCCUGACCAACCCGAACCCUCUUCAUCACCCGCGCGUGCUUCCCGCCCGAAACGGUCAGUGCUGCAUUCAUGCCCGGCCAGAGCGGACGCGACCUCUCACUGGCGCCGGCAUUGAAGCAGUGCGCCGGCCGAGAGAGCGUCACCCGUGCCGCUUCCGGGUGCACGCGGCUGCUCCGCUUUUAAAGGUCGCAAUAGCCGGCUACAACAUGCAUGUAAAAAGUUCUUGGGAGUCCAUGCUACAGCUAGCUGUCCUCCCCCAACUCGUCAAUCUCUUCCAGUAGUGCUAGUACUCCAUGGCACGGUCCAUCGACAAGAAGGCGAGAAAGUUAUUGUAUACUACUCGGUUUGCGGUGAGUGGGAUGCCGAGCGAUCGUGUGGGGUCAAGCCGUGGAGGAGGGUGAGACACGAACAUGACAGACGUGAUUUAAACAUUGGUUUUGCUCGAUGGCGCGAUCCAACGAAACAAAACGUUGGUUUCUCUCGGUUUCCAUUUUUUCUCCGGAAAAAUGGAAACUUUCCACUCCAGUUUCAUUCCUAUUCCAAGGUUGCCCCGUUACAACAUUCCAUCAAAUACAAAGGAAAACUAACACGCAUGCUGAUGCAUCCCAAUGAUUCACAGAUCAUAGCCAAUAUUUACUUCACAACUAAAGAAAAAAGUUGUGAGAGCGUGUACGAAAGAAAAACUACUGAUGGGGUCACUACGACUUAAACCCUAAACCCUAAACAUGAUUUAAUUUCCUGGCCAGGUAGAACCUGUUGAAGGAAAGACGGCUGGCACCCUCGGAUCAUAUGAUGCUUUUGUGCAGUUGCACUAAAAUUGACCUGAGCAUCCCUGAUGGCAAAGAUAUUGAAGAAGUGUGAUUAGAAUAAUAGUACUGGCACUAGUUCAUGAGACAUAAACUCAUCACAAGUAGAAGCCGGUAGAAGUAGAGAAAGAUCGACAUGGAGAUGGAGCUACGGUAAUGGAGCAAGCCGGUUCCAAAAGGAAGAUGGACUAUACCUGGGACGUCGGGCUGUAGCUAGAAGGGCGGUUGGGACGCGGCAUCGGCCCAUACCACGAUGACCCCCGAUUGGGACGCACCGACUGUGGGUUUUUUCCCUCGCCGAUGUCGACCGCGUCUACGCAGAACAUUGUUCCCUUCCCCCAGGUGUGGAUCAGGCCCGUCGUUCUAUGCUUGUGAAGAGAGCAACCUAAGCAAGCAGGCUUGUAGCUUAGGCUCCUGCUAGUGUAUAUAUAGUGGUUUUCUUUUUCUCUCCAUAUCACCAUUUUAUAUUGCGUACGUGUCACUCAAGAGUGAAAUGAUGGUUGCUUCUUCCGACUAACUUACUGUGUGAUUUGACUGCUCGUUAGUGGCCCCUACACAUACUCUCCCUACAUGUAUGCAACAGUCACAUGUACACAUGGACGCAAAAAUGCGCACGACGCCCUAAUGCAUGCAUGUACGAGCACACGACGGAACACACACGGUCAUGCUGAAGUGCUCAACCUACACAUGCAUGCACACACAUACUCAGUCAGGGUGAUCUAGUGACCGUAUAAACACCGGAAAAUAAAUAUAUUGAGCCCAAUGAGCGUAUUAUGAAGUCCAACCACCAGUGUCUUAGCUGAUCGUCCUAAGAAUUCUUAUAUAUGAAUAAAGCUCUGUCAUUUACCUGCAAAAAAGAUUAAGCCAUAUUAACCGGAAAGGAGGGAGUAUGGACAAGCACUACUUUUUGGUGUGUCCCGUCAACUCGCAGAAUGAGGAGAAGCUUAAAGGACAAGGUGAAGCUCGCUUACGCCUUUUGACUAAUGCAACCUACCCUCGGUGGACAUGCAGUCGGUCCAUUCGGUGUCAGAUUGUCAGAGGCAUACACUAUAGUACCCAACAUGCGGAGUACCAUCAUUGUUCGACUUCACGAAGAGGCGAAGAGCCAAGCGCAGUAGUAUGAGUAGUACUACUACUAGAACCGCAUGGUGGAGCGUCUGUACUCUUAUUUUUUAUCUAUGAUAAAGUACACGUUUAUUCCGGAGAAGGGCGGAAAACGGCAGCCCAACAUGUAAUGAAUGAUAUCGAUCAACCAACCAUGCUCGAAUAUAUCUUGGCCUCCAUGCGAGCCCGUCUGUGUGUUCUCGCUCCUCGUCUCUCUCAAGGAACGGCGGGUUGGCUCUCUGCCGUCAAUUGAGAUCGGUUUGCUCACACUCCUGUCCCACAUGUCAGUGAUAUGCCAAGAGGAGGUGCGUUUACCGACUGGCCAUAUGCGUGCUUGGUUUUGCACCUUCAUACUACUGCUCCCUCCGUCACAGUUUACCGGGCGCACUUCAUUAUGAUCCAUUUCUCUCAAUGCAUUUACACCACCAGAGAGACUUUAGAUGCAUUUGGUUUAAUGCUCAAUUAAUUAGGGCGUGGUAACCGCAAUCAAGUCCACAAUUUUCUCUCCAUGUACUCUGUACUACUACGGAGUGGAGUAAGUGCAUGCAUGUGUGUACCCGGGGUGGAAGCACUGCAUGCAUGUGUGUACGCAUUAUUCCCUCUAGAAUAGACGCCGUGCUAUAACUACCAAUGCUAUUUUUCAGGCCGAUCGCUAGUCGCCUUGGUCCCACAAUUUUUUUUCUAAAGCGUGCUAUAUAAACAGUGACGGAUGGAGUAGUAUGAGCGGAUUCAAAGAAGAGUGUGUUGAUGGUUGCUUCUUCAGAGCAACUUAUAGUGGGAAAGGUGGGGCUUAUGAUUUGACUGCUCAUUACUCACUAUUAAUGCAGCACAACGACCGGGCUGAGUCUCCCAUGCGGUUGUGCACUACCCCCUCGGUUCUUAAAUAUACUCUGGAGUAUUUGUCUUUAUAGAGAUUUCAACGAGUGACUACUCAAAUAUUUGUAUUUUUAGAGAUUUCAAAUGGACUGGCACAUACAGAUGUAUAUAGACAUAUUUUAGAGUGUAGAUUCACUCAUUUUGCUCCGGAUGUAGUAACUUGCUGAAAUCUCUAGAAAGACGAAUAGAAUAUUUAGGAACGGAGGGAGUAAACAUACGAAGCAAAAUGAGUGAAUCUACACUCUAAAAUAUGCCCGUUUGAAAUUUGCAAAAGACAAAUAUUUAGGAACGAAGGAGUAUAAUUUUGUGCAUGGCACAUGGACCCGGAUGAUGAAGAGGCUUCUGGCAAUGCUAUCAAGCUUCCAUCAUUUGUUUACAUAAUUGACGUACUAUACAAAUAAUUUUCCAGCGACAUGAAAUUGUACAAUGGUGUGAGCUUUCAGCUUUUGUUUCGCGUGUCUUUCCAUCAAUGCGGAAACAAUAAAAAACUAACUUCCUUGCUAAUGCAUGUCAAUUAUUAGCAGAUCAAAGCUAAAGACAGAGUUGUGAGAAGGUGUUAAAUUAAAAUUGAUCCAUGCUUUCAUUGGCAGCAACGUCCCCCCCCAACUCUGUCUAAAUCAACAAGGCAUGUUGGGGAAAAAAGUUGUUGUCUGGAGCAUGCAACAUUACGAUCAUUUUGUGCAGUUCCACUAAAAUAGAGCUGAGCAUCCCUAUUCCAAAGAUAUUAAGUGUGAUUACGAUAAUAGAUGACUGCUGAUGAAACAAUAAACACACAAAUAGAAGCCGGUCACCUUUACAGCCUCUCUUAAGACUAACUAGUUGGAGAAGAUUAGGCUCGGAGUUGGAUGAGGAGGAUAGAGCAAAACCAAUCUCCCUUUGUGCAGUCGCACUAAAAUGUAGAGACGUUGCCCGUGUGACAUUUUAGUACAACUGCACAAAACACUCAUAAGAAAAAAGUAAUUUGUGCAGUUCACCAAAAGGUCGCAAUAGCAACGAGGUGAAAUGGAUAGCCCUGUUUGCAAAAAAGAGGUAGAAAGGAAACAAUUACUAGCCAAUAACAGUUGAUGACACAUGCGACGACGAAAAAGAAGCAUAUUCCUUGUCCUAAGGGAAGAUAACAACACAGUUGUGUUUGUCUAAAACGGUGUGAGGACGAGAAUGCAAUAUGGAAAGUACGCCAGACGAGCUAUGUUUUGGGAAAAGAACUAUGGAAGAUCCACAUGCAGCGACGUGGGAAGACGGGCAGUGGAGCAAGGCCGGAGGGCAUACCUUGUAACGCCCCGAGACCGACGCUCCAGAAGACUUCCAGCUACUCUGAGUUUCGUCGUGUGAUCUGUUUUGUUUGUUGCAUCAUUUGCAUUGCAUCAUGCCAUCAUGUCAUUUUUUUAAAAAAACUCAACUAAAUAAAUCGUAUGGAUUUUUUUUCGAUCCAUUUAAAUCGAGGGAAUUCACUCGUGAUUUCUCUUUAUAACAUAUUAAAGCCUCUCAAUAUUCUUAGGGAGCUAUAAUAAAAUAUUCCAUUUUUGGAAUCACCAAAACACACUUACAAAAUAUUUUCGUUCCUUUUCUGCUUCAAGUUUGGUCUCCAACCUUGCCAAUAUUUAUUUCAUCAUUUUCCGGAGCUCCACCAAAAAUCCAAACAUUUUUGGACCUUCCCAAACCUCACUUCCUAUUCAAAUCAUUUGAAUUUAAAUCAAAUGAGUUUGAAUUUAAUCUUUCAAUCAUGGCCUUUCUAUUUUUCUCGGAACAAACUCAUUUUUGCGAGUCCGGAAAAAUUAUCCCCAUGUCCUACUUCUUCCCCUAACCCCUCUUUCUAUUCUUUCCUAUCUCUGUUUUGUUUUUAUUUCCUUUAGAGAGGGAGAAGAGAGCCUUGCAGCCCAGCCGGCCUCUUAGGCCCGGCCAACCUAAGCCGGCCCAAGGCCAGCCACGCCCCCCUGUAACCCUAGCCCGUGCAUCUCUCCCUCUCGAUUCCUUGCCAGCGCCGCCUCCUUCUUCUUGUUCGCCACCACGCACAACCCCAGGAGCCCGAUCCCCCCAUCCCUCUCCCUUGCUACCGUGGCCGCUCCCCUCGAUCUCCUCCGUCUCGCCCCUCUCAGCCUCCUGCGCCCGUGCCCCUCCUCUGCCCCGCCUCUGUUUCCGGCCGCCGCCAGCGAGCAGCUCCGUCGGAGCUCGUCCCCGAGCACGACCAUCUCCGGCCAUGGCGCCGCCCUGCUGCCCCUCCUCGUGCGCCCUCCUCCAUCGUGCCCAAUCCCCAUCGCCAACCUCCUCGCGCCGGCCGCCCGCAGCUCGCUGCCUCUGCUCGAUUUGUUGAGGAGCUCCCGAGCCGCGGUCGCCGCCCGGAUCCAUCGUCCCCGCUACGCCAAGCUCCUGCCUAGUCUGCAUCUCCAUCGCCUGCGCUUCCAGCGCCUGAUCCCGCUGCCCGAGCCAUCCCGUCGCGCCUUCUCCACCCCGCAGCCAUCGCCGGAGCUGCUCCUUUUGCCGAGCGCCACCCCGAGCCCCAAGCAUCGCCCCUGCUCCCUCCUUCGCCAGCACCCUGCCUCCUUCACGCCUCCCCAUCAGCAUCGCCGUGGCCCUGUUCGCGUGAAGCCCCUGCGCCACCACCAUCAGCGCACGGCGUCUCCGACCCGUUCCGCCCCUUGCUGCUGCUGUAGGCCAUGAGCUCGCGGCUACCGCACGGACGCCAAGACCGAGACCGCCCCGAACCACAUCGUCUCGCUGGAUCGUCAAGACCAUCUCGGUUUUUGCAAGUACCUCUACGCCCGAAGAUGUUGGACGCGCCAAGUUCCACUACGAUAGGCACCACUUCUGUUGCUGAGAGUUUCGUCAAGUUCAACUACAUUGACUACGAAACGUGAACGACUACCGUCGCCGAGACCGCAAGUACCAUGACUAACAUGUACGGCUACACGACGACCCGCCAAGACCCUGAACAACUACCGCCGCUGUCGUGUACCACUACUUCUACUACCGUCGCCGUGUACUACUACUUCCUCUACGUCGCCACGUGAACGUCUACCUCCACUACGGCCGUGAAUGACUACUUCCUUCACCGAACGAGAACCGUCCCGAUUGCUCGCUUCGAAGGUAUAACCACCGAAACGACCACCGUGGACCGAAUGCACGUUGUAUGAGAUGCCCGUGUUUGCACCAUGUCCGAAUUGUUCCUUGCACGUUCACCGUAAGCCAUGCCACCAUUAUGUGGGACACCCGGAAUCCGGGAUCACCCCACCAUCCAUGCACGCAUCCGCACGCCUCCUUUUGCACCGGUAUCUCCGUGAGCUACCGGAACCGAUAUGUUGCCGUGGCAUCAUUUUCGGAUAUGUUGCCGUGGCAUCAUUUUCGGAUAUGUUGCCGUGGCACCAUUUUUGUUUCGCCGCCGUGGCACCCUUUUCAUUCCGCCAUGGUGACCAAAUGCUCCUUAUCAUGCUCUAUGUCAACAUUUUCAUAAAAAUUGCAUAAAACUUGUAUAUGUCAUCCACAUCAUGAUAACAACAUUUAAAAUGUUAAACUUGUUGUUGCAUUAAAUUGCUAAAUGCAUAUGGGGAUUUACCGGAUUUGUUGUUUUUAUAUCCGGCCCCAUUUAAAUUGUUUAGAUGGUAUAGUUUAUAUUAUGCUUCACCUCUUGCCAUGUUUAACAACAGUUAAUAUUGUUGGGUAGUUUAAACGAGAGAUAACUAAAUAAUUGAUGUGGUGUUCCGUCAACAUGCACCUCGUUGCAUAUUGAGCUCCACUUAACUUGUAGUAUUGUUUGUUGCACUUUGCCAUGCCAUGCCUCAUUAAACCGGACAUGCAUCAUACUUGUUUGUGCAUCAUGACUUGUUUAUGCUUGUGUGUUUACUAUGUUGUUUGUUCCUUUCCGGGUUGCUUCUCACGUUAGCUUCGGUUUCGUUCCGGAGUUGUGAGGAUUCGUUCGACUACGUCCGUUUGUCUUCUUCUUGGACUCGUUCUUCUUCCUUGCGGGAUCUCAGGCAAGAUGAUCAUACCCUCGAAAUCACCACUAUCUUUGCUAUGCUAGUUUGCUCGCUCUUUUGCUAUGCCAAUGCUACGAUGCCUACCAUUUGCUUGUCAGCCUCCCAAAUUGCCAUGUCAAACCUCUAACCCACCAUGUCCUAGCAAACCGUUGAUUGGCUAUGUUACCGCUUUGCUUAGCCCCUCUUAUAGCGUUGUUAGUUGCAGGUGAAGAUUGAAGUUUGUUCCUUGUUGGAACAUGGAGAUGUUGUUCCUUGUUGGAACAUGUUUACUUGUUGGGAUAUCACAAUAUAUCUUACUUAAUUAAUGCAUCUAUAUACUUGGUAAAGGGUGGAAGGCUCGGCCUUAUGCCUGGUGUUUUGUUCCAUUCUUGCCGCCCUAGUUUCCGUCAUAUCGGUGUUAUGUUCCCGGAUUUUGCGUUCCUUACACGGUUGGGCUAUAAUGGGAACCCCUUGACAGUUCGCCUUAAGUAAAGCUCCUCCAGCAAUGCCCAACAUUGGUUUUACCAUUUGCACUAACAACCUACCACCUUCCCUUGGGUUCUGCAGACUCAAGGGUCAUAUUUAUUCUAACCCCCCCGGGCCAGUGCUCCUCUGAGUGUUGGUCCGAACUGAGCUGCCUGCGGGGCCACCUCGGGGAAACUUGAGGGUUGGUUUUACUCGUAGCUAGACUCAUCUGAGUGUGCCCUGAGAAAGAGAUAUGUGCAGCUCCUAUCGGGAUUUGUCGGCACAUUCGGGCGGUGUUGCUGGUUUAGUUUUACCCUGUCGAAAUGUCUUGUUGUACCGGGAUACCGAGUCUGAUCGGAGUGUCUCGGGUGGAGGUCUAUUCCUUCGUUGACCGUGAGAGCUUGUCAUGGGCUAAGUUGGGACACCCCUGCAGGGUAUUAUCUUUCGAAAGUCGUGCCCGCGGUUAUGGGCAGAUGGGAAUUUGUUAACGUCCGGUUGUAGAAAACCCGAAGUUGACCUUAAUUAAAAUACAUCAACCGUGUGUGUAACCGUGAUGGUCUCUUUCCGGCGGAGUCCGGGAAGUGAACACGGUGUUGGAGUUAUGCUUGACGUAGGUUGCUAUAGGAUCACUUCUUGAUCAUACUUUUAUCGACCGUGCUUUGCCUUCUCUUCUUGCUCUCAUUUGCGUAUGUUAGCCACCAUAUAUGCUAGUCGCUUGCUGCAGCUCCACCUCAUUACUCCAUCCUUCCUAUAAGCUUAAAUAGUCUUGAUCUCGCGGGUGUGAGAUUGCUGAGUCCUCGUGGCUCACAAAUACUUCCAAACCAGUUUGCAGGUGCCUAUGUUACCGAGCAGGAGACGCAACCAAGCUCAAGGAGGAGCUCGAUGAAGAUCUUGCCUGUUGUGUUGUUUCGUUCUAGUUGAUCAGUAGUGGAGCCCAGUUGGGGUCGAUCGGGGGCCUUUGUCGCAUUUGGGGUUCUUCUUUUAUUUUGGUUCCGUAGUCGGACCUUGAUUGUAUCUGGAUGAUGUAAUGCUUUAUUCAUGUAAUUGUGUGAAGUGGCGAUUGUAAGCCAACUAUGUAUCUCUUUCCCUUAUGUAUUACAUGGGUUGUGUGAAGAUUACCUCACUUGCGACAUUGCUUUCAAUGCGGUUAUGCCUCUAAGUCGUGCUUCGACACGUGGGAGAUAUAGCCGCAUCGAGGGCGUUACAUGUUGGUAUCAGAGCCUUCCCCGACCUUAGGAGCCCCACUGCUUGAUCGUUUUUAGCGGCCGAGUUGUGUCUAGAAAAAAUAUUUUGAGUCAUUUAGGAUUAUAUAUAUUGGAGAGUUAGGAAUUCUUUUUACUCCCCAGUCUCUUCAUCGCUCUGGUAAGGCAUCCUGACGUAGAGUUUUGACUCUUCUCUUCUCAAAUUUCACUAAAAAUUUUUAGGAUCACGCGGGUAUCUUGGAAUCGUUCCGAUGGUUUUAUGAUGACAACAUUGUCUUGGUGCCUCCUGUCAGGGGUUUAGUGGAAGUGUCCCGGGGAGUUGAGCUCUGAGGUGUUGUCGUCAUAAUUUUAUCGUUGCAGUUCUGGAAUACCUGAGUUUAGUACGCCGACAUCGAAAAUCUCUUUUAUGCAGUUGUUGGUGAGAUAACCCCGAUAACCCAGUACUGAGGUGAGUACGGGAGUAUUGCCAUGACUCGUAUAACGGAUGCUUUUCGAAGGUUGAGGUAGACGAUUUCCGAAGGUUUCUUGGUUAUGUGUUGAAGGAUGGAUACAGCUGGAUGUAGGAUUUGCUAGUUUUGGGUGAGAUAUUAUGCUUCCCCUGUAUCCCCAACACCUGAUUGCAUAACCAGAAAAUUUCGGGAGUUUCGUAGGUGGGAAUUCAAGUAGCUCUUAGGAUAUCUUUCUGACGGAUGUAUGAUAUGAAAUUGGGGUUCGACGUCUAGUGGUCCGCCUAUUCACGGUUGGUUUUAUAGUGGUCUCGUUGUGUCUUAAAGAGUCCUUGGCUAUGCCGACUCGGGGACGCUUCAUAUGUCAUGUGCACUGCCUUGUACAUGAUGGUGUUGUACGAUCGAGCCCGUGUAGGCCCCACCACGAAAACUUCGGAUGAAAUCUCUAUCAUAUGUUUGUUCCGGCUUAUUUUGCAAGCCAAUCCUUUGUUUUGUUUUGAGCUGUGGUAUUCAAGUUGCUUCAAUGUAAAGUGUUGAUUCCAUACCUUCCCCAAAUGGUGUUCUCAUACUCCGAUUUGAAUACUAAUCAUUCUGGAUAAUCGAGAUUGUCUUGUCAAUCCUUUUCAACCGGUGUGUUUCUCUUCAAGUGGAUCCGAUCACUUCAACAUCAGCAAGACCAAUUAUCAUUUCUUCUCAAGGGUGUUUGUUUCAUCCGUCUCCAAGUUGCCUUUGUUUUUCCCGCCCACCCAACCUUUUUCCUCAAGGACUAAGAUUUCUUUACCAAGUAUCCUUUUAUUUUUGUGAAGUUUCUCCAUUCUUUUCCGUCAAUGUUCUUACCCGGUGGUUCUCAAGAAGAUGUUCUACUAGUUCGUCAUUCCUCAUUCCUCUCUCUUCUCCGGUGGAUUCAAGUCAAGUUUUGUUGAUCAUACCUUUUUCCUCAUUUCAAUGUCUUCUCAUACCGGUGCACCUCUUAAUCAUCCAUCUCUCGCUAUUAAAUUGUUCCGGAGUGCUCAAGAUAUCUCGAAGAUUCAUGUUUCCACUCUGCAUUCGUUCAAGCUCUUUCGAGAUUGGUAUCUCAUUCAAGUCAUUUAAUUCAACCGGUGCAACAUCUCUUUUAAAUCUUUUCAACGGUGUUCUUUUGAGUGGGCCCUUACCCAUAGGUCUUUUCCCAGGAUCUUACCUGACUCUUCUAUUUUCCCAAAGCUAUCUCAAAUUCUUCUCCAAGUUUGACGUAAGAAUGAGUUAUCAUCAGUCAAGUGCUUUUUCUCCAAGAUCUUUCAAAUUCUUUUCAUAGUUGGCUCAACCUCUUCGCUUUUGAUUCUUCCGGUGUGCCUCAAUAAUUCUUGGUGGUGUUUCUCGUUGUCAUUCUCAUCAUUUGAAGACCGAAGAAGAGUUUCUCUUUAUUCUUGCUCUAUUCUCUUCAAGAUUCAUGGUGCUAGCUUGUUGCCAUCCUCUCAUAAUUGUUUUCGAUUGUGAGAAUCUUUUCACCCAUCAGGAGAUAUUCAAGAGUCUUCUCAGUUUGUCAUCCGGAGUCCAUCAAUUCAGGUUUAUUCAUUCUCAGCCGUCAGUUAUCAUUCUCCUAUCUUGCCGGUGCAUCUAUCGAAUAUCCUCUAAUCAGUUCUUGAUCUCUUUGUUCUCAUGUAUCUAGUUUGUCUCAAGCACCUUCGUUCAUUUGCUAAUUCUUACCGGUGAUGCACCCCUACUUCGAUCAUUUUCAAUUCUUACGGUGGUUCUUUCAAGAUCUCUCUUCCUUGUUCAUCAUAUCAAUUCAUUUGUUGUUCCAAUCCUACCGGUGGUUCGUUGAAGACCUUCUCAAGUUUACGCUAUAUCUCUUUUAAUCCUUUCUACGAGAAUAAGUAGUAUGCCAAAUCCGUUGAUUGUCGUCAAUUUAAUUGGUGAAGGAUAAGCAUAACAUAAUUCUUAUUCUUGUUCAUCCAAGUGAUUAAUUCUUUAUUCCGGAGGCCCUUAAAAUUCUCGGUUUCAUUUGUUUCAUCUUCUCUUUUUCCCGGAGUUCCAAGCUCUAAUUAUCACGGAGAUCCAUCUAAAUCAUUGCAAGGAUUCACCUUGUGUUUUCAAUUUCUCUUUCUUUUCAUUCCUUUUGUUUACCGGAGUUCUUCAUGGAGGUUCUACAUGAUGGUUCAUCAAGGAUUUAAUUCCCUUCUCAAAGUUUUCAUCGAGAUUCUUUCCUAAGGAGCUCAAGCUUUCUUCAUAUGGUAAUCCGGAGUGCAAUUCUUUCUACCAUUUUUGGAGGUGGUAUUAUGUCAUUCUUGAUAAUUUGAGUUCAUGUUCCAUGAUUCACAUGUUGUUAAGAAUGAGUUAUUUUUAAAUCCAUCAACCUCGUUGUUGGAGUUAUCUUGUGUCAUAUUUCACCUAAAAGCCUUCCAUUGGGAAUGUUGCUAUUUGUGGUGCUUGCCAAUGAUCCAAGUUAUCUCUUUAUAAUCUUGGUGGAAGAAGUUUUCAUCUCUUCGUUGAUCUCAAGCAAGCAAUUGUUUCCGUUAGUGGCCGGUUGUCACCUCAUAAUUUUGAGAUGUUUUCCAUAAGCCCACUACAAGCUUGUGCUUUUCGUUGUUGAUUUUACAACAACUCCGUUCAAUUCUUCUUUGCAAGGAUGCUUUCCAAACUCAUUUGUGGCAGAAGUUGGCAUUUUCUUCUCCAUUCUGUUAUUCCAAUGAUAUAUCUUCUAUUAUUUCUUUCGGAGGCAUUGUGACGUUGCUCUUUUCACUCACCAUCUCGAUUCGUGAGGAUCGUGUUCUUUUCUUGCUUAUCCAUUUAACCGGAGUGUCGUGUUUUCAUUCGAGUUCUCUAAUCUUAUCAAGUUUUCCCUCCUUCCUCAACUGGAGAGCUGUCUGAAAUCCUUCUUACCCAUUGUGUCAUUCUUUCAAUAGUUCCGGAGGCAGUGUGUUGUUGAUUUCAUCAAGUAACAUCCCAUCUUCUCAAGUUCAUGUUCUAUUCCUUCCAUGUUCAACCGGAGUGCUGCCCGAAUUCUUCCCCUCUCAUCUUGUUUUAACCGGAGUGGUUUCGAAUUCUAUCUUGUCCAUUAAACUCUUGAUUCAUGUCUUUGCAACCUUCAAGUUCUCGUAAUGUUCCUUGUUCCUUUUUUUUCUAACGGAUUGUUUGCAAUCUCGUUCUUCUCAGUUGUGCUCUUUCUUUUAAAUUGCUCAACCUCUCAAGGUUCUUUGGUUUCACUCAUUGGUCGAAGAAGCAACUUAGGUUUACCUCUUCUCUUCCUCUUCCGUUUCUCUCCGGUGCCAUCCUAGAUCUCGGGACGAGAUCCUCUUGUAGUGGUGGAGUGUUGUAACGCCCCGAGACCGACGCUCCAGAAGACUUCCAGCUACUCCGAGUUUCGUCGUGUGAUUUGUUUUGUUUGUUGCAUCAUUUGCAUUGCAUCAUGCCAUCAUGUCAUUUUUUUAAAAACUCAACUAAAUAAAUCGUAUGGAUUUUUUUUCGAUCCAUUUAAAUCGAGGGAAUUCACUCGUGAUUUCUCUUUAUAACAUAUUAAAGCCUCUCAAUAUUCUUAGGGAGCUAUAAUAAAAUAUUCCAUUUUUGGAAUCACCAAAACACACUUACAAAAUAUUUUCGUUCCUUUUCUGCUUCAAGUUUGGUCUCCAACCUUGCCAAUAUUUAUUUCAUCAUUUUCCGGAGCUCCACCAAAAAUCCAAACAUUUUUGGACCUUCCCAAACCUCACUUCCUAUUCAAAUCAUUUGAAUUUAAAUCAAAUGAGUUUGAAUUUAAUCUUUCAAUCAUGGCCUUUCUAUUUUUCUCGGAACAAACUCAUUUUUCCGAGUCCGGAAAAAUUAUCCCCAUGUCCUACUUCUUCCCCUAACCCCUCUUUCUAUUCUUUCCUAUCUCUGUUUUGCUUUUAUUUUCUUUAGAGAGGGAGAAGAGAGCCUUGCAGCCCAGCCGGCCUCUUAGGCCCGGCCAACCUAAGCCGGCCCAAGGCCAGCCACGCCCCCCUGUAACCCUAGCCCGUGCAUCUCUCCCUCUCGAUUCCCUGCCAGCGCCGCCUCCUUCUUCUUGUUCGCCACCACGCACACCCCCAGGAGCCCAAUCCCCCCAUCCCUCUCCCUUGCUACCGUGGCCGCUCCCCUCGAUCUCCUUCGUCUCGCCCCUCUCAGCCUCCUGCGCCCGUGCCCCUCCUCUGCCUCGCCUCUGUUUCCGGCCGCCGCCAGCGAGCAGCUCCGUCGGAGCUCGUCCCCGAGCGCGACCAUCUCCGGCCAUGGCGCCGCCCUGCUGCCCCUCCUCGUGCGCCCUCCUCCAUCGUGCCCAAUCCCCGUCGCCAACCUCCUCGCGCCGGCCGCCCGCAGCUCGCCGCCUCUGCUCGAUUUGUUGAGGAGCUCCCGAGCCGCGGUCGCCGCCCGGAUCCAUCGUCCCCGCUACGCCAAGCUCCUGCCUAGUCUGCAUCUCCGUCGCCUGCGCCUCCAGCGCCUGAUCCCGCUGCCCGAGCCGUCCCGUCGCGCCUCCUCCACCCCGCAGCCAUCGCUGGAGCUGCUCCUUUUGCUGAGCGCCACCCCGAGCCCCAAGCAUCGCCCCUGCUCCCUCCUUCGCCAGCACCCUGCCUCCUUCACGCCUCCCCAUCAGCAUCGCCGUGGCCCUGUUCGCGUGAAGCCCCUGCGCCACCACCAUCAGCGCACGGCGUCUCCGACCCGUUCCGCCCCUUGCUGCUGCUGUAGGCCAUGAGCUCGCGGCUACCGCACGGACGCCAAGACCGAGACCGCCCCGAACCACGUCGUCUCGCUGGAUCAUCAAGACCAUCUCGGUUUUUGCAUGUACCUCUACGCCCGAAGAUGUUGGACGCGCCAAGUUCCACUAUGAUAGGCACCACUUCUGUUGCUGAGAGUUUCGUCAAGUUCAACUACAUCGACUACGAAACAUGAAUGACUACCGUCGCCGAGACCGCAAGUACCACAACUAACAUGUACGGCUACACGACGACCCGCCAAGACCCUGAACAACUACCGCCGCCGUCGUGUACCACUACUUCUACUACCGUCGCCGUGUACAACUACUUCCUCUACGUCGCCACGUGAACGUCUACCUCCACUACGGCCGUGAACGACUACUUCCUUCGCCGAACGAGAACCGCCCCGAUUGCUCGCUUCGAAGGUAUAACCACCGAAACGACCGCCGUGGACCGAAUGCACGUUGUAUGAGAUGCCCGUGUUUGCACCAUGUCCGAAUUGUUCCUUGCACGUUCGCCGUAAGCCAUGCCACCAUUAUGUGGGACACCCGGAAUCCGGGAUCACCCCACCAUCCAUGCACGCAUCCGCACGCCUCCUUUUGCACCGGUAUCUCCGUGAGCUACCGGAACCGAUAUGUUGCCGUGGCAUCAUUUUCGGAUAUGUUGCCGUGGCAUCAUUUUCGGAUAUGUUGCCGUGACACCAUUUUUGUUUCGCCGCCGUGGCACCCUUUUCGUUCCGCCAUGGUGACCAAAUGCUCCUUAUCAUGCUCUAUGUCAACAUUUUCAUAAAAAUUGCAUAAAACUUGUAUAUGUCAUACGCAUCAUGAUAACAACAUUUAAAAUGUUAAACUUGUUGUUGCAUUAAAUUGCUAAAUGCAUAUGGGGAUUUACCGGAUUUGUUGUUUUUAUACCCGGCCCCAUUUAAAUUGUUUAGAUGGUAUAGUUUAUAUUAUGCUUCACCUCUUGCCAUGUUUAACAACAGUUAAUAUUGUUGGGUAGUUUAAACGAGAGAUAACUAAAUAAUUGAUGUGGUGUUCCGUCAACAUGCACCUCGUUGCAUAUUGAGCUCCACUUAACUUGUAGUAUUGUUUGUUGCACUUUGCCAUGCCAUGCCUCAUUAAACCGGACAUGCAUCAUACUUGUUUGUGCAUCAUGACUUGUUUAUGCUUGUGUGUUUACUAUGUUGUUUGUUCCUUUCCGGGUUGCUUCUCACGUUAGCUUCGGUUUCGUUCCGGAGUUGUGAGGAUUCGUUCGACUACGUCCGUUUGUCUUCUUCUUGGACUCGUUCUUCUUCCUUGCGGGAUCUCAGGCAAGAUGAUCAUACCCUCGAAAUCACCACUAUCUUUGCUAUGCUAGUUUGCUCGCUCUUUUGCUAUGCCAAUGCUACGAUGCCUACCAUUUGCUUGUCAGCCUCCCAAAUUGCCAUGUCAAACCUCUAACCCACCAUGUCCUAGCAAACCGUUGAUUGGCUAUGUUACCGCUUUGCUUAGCCCCUCUUAUAGCGUUGUUAGUUGCAGGUGAAGAUUGAAGUUUGUUCCUUGUUGGAACAUGGAGAUGUUGUUCCUUGUUGGAACAUGUUUACUUGUUGGGAUAUCACAAUAUAUCUUACUUAAUUAAUGCAUCUAUAUACUUGGUAAAGGGUGGAAGGCUCGGCCUUAUGCCUGGUGUUUUGUUCCAUUCUUGCCGCCCUAGUUUCCGUCAUAUCGGUGUUAUGUUCCCGGAUUUUGCGUUCCUUACACGGUUGGGCUAUAAUGGGAACCCCUUGACAGUUCGCCUUAAGUAAAGCUCCUCCAGCAAUGCCCAACAUUGGUUUUACCAUUUGCACUAACAACCUACCACCUUCCCUUGGGUUCUGCAGACUCAAGGGUCAUAUUUAUUCUAACCCUCCCGGGCCAGUGCUCCUCUGAGUGUUGGUCUGAACUGAGCUGCCUGCGGGGCCACCUCGGGGAAACUUGAGGGUUGGUUUUACUCGUAGCUAGACUCAUCUGAGUGUGCCCUGAGAAAGAGAUAUGUGCAUCUCCUAUCGGGAUUUGUCGGCACAUUCGGGCGGUGUUGCUGGUUUAGUUUUACCCUGUCGAAAUGUCUUGUUGUACCGGGAUACCGAGUCUGAUCGGAGUGUCUCGGGUGGAGGUCUAUUCCUUCGUUGACCGUGAGAGCUUGUCAUGGGCUAAGUUGGGACACCCCUGCAGGGUAUUAUCUUUCGAAAGCCGUGCCCGCGGUUAUGGGUAGAUGGGAAUUUGUUAACGUCCGGUUGUAGAAAACCCGAAGUUGACCUUAAUUAAAAUACAUCAACCGUGUGCGUAACCGUGAUGGUCUCUUUCCGGCGGAGUCCGGGAAGUGAACACGGUGUUGGAGUUAUGCUUGACGUAGGUUGCUAUAGGAUCACUUCUUGAUCAUACUUUUAUCGACCGUGCUUUGCCUUCUCUUCUCGCUCUCAUUUGCAUAUGUUAGCCACCAUAUAUGCUAGUCGCUUGCUGCAGCUCCACCUCAUUACUCCAUCCUUCCUAUAAGCUUAAGUAGUCUUGAUCUCGGGGGUGUGAGAUUGCUGAGUCCUCGUGGCUCACAAAUACUUCCAAACCAGUUUGCAGGUGCCUAUGUUACCGAGCAGGAGACGCAACCAAGCUCAAGGAGGAGCUCGAUGAAGAUCUUGCCCGUUGUGUUGUUUCGUUCUAGUUGAUCAGUAGUGGAGCCCAGUUGGGGUCGAUCGGGGGCCUUUGUCGCAUUUGGGGUUCUUCUUUUAUUUUGGUUCCGUAGUCGGACCUUGAUUGUAUCUGGAUGAUGUAAUGCUUUAUUCAUGUAAUUGUGUGAAGUGGCGAUUGUAAGCCAACUAUGUAUCUCUUUCCCUUAUGUAUUACAUGGGUUGUGUGAAGAUUACCUCACUUGCGACAUUGCUUUCAAUGCGGUUAUGCCUCUAAGUCGUGCUUCGACACGUGGGAGAUAUAGCCGCAUCGAGGGCGUUACAUACCUGGAGGUCAUCGGGAUGUAACUAGGUGAUCGGCGGCGGGCGGAAUCUACGAGCAGGUGGUGUAGGCCCUGCCGCGCCGGAGCUUGGUCAUAGAGAACGGCUUGUACCGCGGAUCGGGACGUGCUGCCUCAACACCGUCGAACGGAGAAACGAUGCACUUCCUCCCUUUCCCCUGGCGGAUGGAAUGCGGCCGGAUCAGUGACCAACGGUGAGAGAGAGAGAGGCCACCGCACUCCCUUUCCCUCGACGGACGGGAUGCGGCCAGAUCAGUGACCAACAGUGAGAGAGAGAGAGAGCCCACCAUAGCCUUAUGUGAGAUACUCUGAAGAGCGAUAAACCAGACAGUCAGGCUCCAUUGUAUAUAGUGAUCGGACUACCUUUUUCUCCACAAAAACCGUUUUAUAUUCUGUGUACGUGCCAUCGAGUGUUAUAACUUUAUUUAAAAAUAAUGCGGCAACGCGUCAAGUCGAACUUUGUUUCGUGCACGCGUGGUACACGACCUCCCUAGGUAAACAACCGCUACAGGCGUUCAAAUUAGCAUGUGGGCUGCCAUUUCGUAAAGAAAUGAGCUCCACCGUGUACCCGCGCGGGUGUGGCUGGGCACGAAGCAUGAGUACGUGCACGGUGCACCUAUUCUCUUCUUGUAUACGUACACCACCUACGUGGGGUUGUGUGAGAGAGAUACAAACCUAGAGAGAUAUAGUGUGUGGGUNNNNNNNNNNNNNNNNNNNNNNNNNNNNNNNNNNNNNNNNNNNNNNNNNNNNNNNNNNNNNNNNNNNNNNNNNNNNNNNNNNNNNNNNNNNNNNNNNNNNNNNNNNNNNUGUGGGUUUUUGAGAGUUUUCUUGGGGGGGGGGGGUCAAGCAAAAAAUGUAACAUAUGCAAUGUGUGUGCAAUAGAGUCCUGGAUAUAACAUAUAUAUAGAGGGGGCGAUCCACGAGAAGAAAGUGGAGGUAUCAUCGGCUUGAGGUGUCCAUAGAAUCGAAGAGAGGGAUGAUGAUGUGUGUGUGUGUGCGCGCGCGAUCGAUAAAGAGUGCCAUCGAAUUUGUGUGUGCCCAUGUCAAAGAUAUAGAGUGGCUGGCCUACUGGAACAUGAGAGGGGACAUGUGCAGUUUGUCUCUAUGGCAUGGAUACCUAUCUGCAGCGCUCGACUAUCGGUGUGUGGUGGGGGAAGAGGGAGACCCAAUUAACUAUAGAGGUACAAUGGCUGGUAUAUGUGUGGAGGAGGAGAGAGGCCUACCUCAUGUAUUAAGGAGAUCGAUCUGCCUCAUGUAUUAAGGGAGAUCGAUCGACAUCCAUGCAUAUGUGCAGGACAGGAAUAAGGUUGGGAGAGAGACAGAGCUAGAGUGUUGGAGGGGGUGGUAGUGGAGUUGCUUCUAACAAAUGGUGGGAUAGGAUUGCUAGACAAACGGAGGGCAUGCCCGCAAUAUCAAUAAGAGAGGAGAUGGCUGCUUGUUGUCUGUGCACGUGCGUGUGAGAGACGGGUCAGGAGGCAUGCACGAAUGAUGAGGGGGGACGAUGUGGCUGUGGUAAGUAGACGUAACUGCAUAGGAAGAUCAAUCGCCCUUUGUUAGAGAAAGGAGAGACAUAACUUGUGAGGUACGUCGAUCGAUGGGGGGGGGGUAGUUAAAGUUGAUCUAGGUAUAUGUUGGGAGAUCGAUCGGUAUACAUGCAUGUGUGUGUUAGAAGCAAAUGAGGCACGAGGAGAAGGAUAGAGAGAGAGGGAUACAUGUAGGAGGUGUUACGAGAGGCAUACUAUAUCGAGGGGGAAGGAGUGUGCGAGUACGAGAACGAUGAAAAGAGUGGUGGGAGUGAGGCAUGGACGGUGACAAGAGAAGAGGGGAAGCUUGUGUUUGUGCUAGGCACACCUGGCUAGAGAGGCAUAUCGAUCGAUGUGUGCCGUAAAUAAGGAGAUGGGGGCCCUACACACACCGUGGGUGAACGACCUAAAGUGAAAAGACGAAUUUGCACGAUGGAGCUUGAGAAUGCUGAGGGAGGGUGAGAGGGAUGCGGGCGUGUGCAUGCACAAGAGAAAGUUAGCGCUAGCUACAAAGAUAAGAGGGUUGUGUGGGUGUAAAAGACGAAUAGAGAUCAUAUAUACUUCAUUAUAAAAAGCGAAUUCGGAUAUUUGAAGAAUUCAUCAUAGUGUUUUAAACCGACGCAUGUGUGAAUAUAUAUAAUGGUGAUACACAUGGUGUGGUUAUGAACAUGUUAUACUACAUUUAAUAUAUUUUAUCUCUACUCUUAUUAAAAAACGGAGUUGUUGAUGAUGGUGUGCCUGCCAUCCUGCAUUAUAGGCCGUCCGAUUUAUAUCUGGCGAUAGCAAGGAAACUAUGACGGUUGAAGUUGGCAACAAUCAUGAUUGUAGAUUCUUAUUGAAAUAGAGAAACGGAUUCAAAUUUAGUUCGAAUUGCAGCGGUAGUAUAGACAUUUGGAAUGCACUAAAAUGUUGGUAUGAGUAGGUUACAUGCAUUAUACAGCAAGCAAAAAAAUUUAAUCGGACAUGACAUGGAUUCAUACUCCCUCCUUCCAUCUAUAUAGGGCGUAAUGAGAUUGUUAAGACUGCCUUUGACUAUUGACAAGAUUAAUAGUACAUGACAUGCACAAUGUGAAAGUUAUAUCAUUGAAAGAACCUUUCACAUGAAUUUAACGGUGUGCUUUGUGUAAGUUGCCUGUCAUAUAUCAUUGCUCUAAUAUUUGGUCAAAGUUAGCAUCGAAAAAGGCCCUAUAUAGAUGGAAGGAGGGAGUAGCUUUGAAUAGCAUUUGUAUAGUAAAACGGGGCAAGACUCUCUCUUUGUGUGGUGUGAAUAGUUUUAUUUUUUUCAUUUUAUUUUUGGUUGAGGGAAGUGCGAAUUCAUUUGGUACGUACAAGUACAAUAUUACUACACGUUAUGUUAGGCUUGUCCCUAAAAUUCAACCCGCGUCUUGUUAUAUCCUGAAAAUUCAGAUAUCGUGCUCUCAAAACUGGCGCCUUCACAACCCGCGCCUUGCUAUCCCGAAAUUACAACGCGCGCGAAAACUCCCUCCAGCUGCCAAAUCCCGACACGUGAAAUCCCCCUUCUAACCCUGAGCCAAAAGAGCCACUAGUUCAAAUCGGUGGGGGUACUUUUGUAACACACCCUACAUUUUGGACAAGCGCGUCCCUAAGUCAUGCUUCACCCCUCCCAUCACCCCCUUUUCGCCAUUCGAAAUCCCAGGCCGACAUAACCUCUCCGCUCCAACCGCGAAACCCCACCCUCCUCCGUCCGCCAUGUCACCUCUGCCCAGCCGGAGCCUCUUCCCCGACGACGUCGUCCACCGCAACAGCUCGAUGUCCCUCGUCCACCUCCCCGGAUGAGGAUCCGUCGUCCAUCUCGCCGUCCCGUUAGUUCAGCCGCCCCGUCCUCCACCUCCAAGGAGCUGCUCCAACGAUCGCCUUAUCUAUCGCGGCUGCUCCAUCCCCACAGCGCCACCUUAACUUUGUCCACCAGAACCGCAGCAUCCUCACCGACUCCUCGGAUGAAGCUGAGGCCUACUCGGCGCCACCAAAGAUGUUGUACACUCAUUGCAUCACACCUUCUCCUUAACUCAACCUCCCGGCACCGUCGGUGCUCCAUCCCGCACCCCCAUGGAGCGGCUACCUUGAAGCCGGCGCCGCGGGCGACAUCUCCACGGUGGCUCUCCCCCAGUGCGAGGUACCUUCGGCGGCGGCAUCCCGGAUCUGCUGCUGCUGCUCCAGCUCUCGCUCGAUCGCUCACUCAGCGAGCUGCUGCUCUCCCCCUCGCUCGUGCUGCUGCUCUGCUCCGAUUAAGCCACACUUCAGUCGACUGAAUCGACUUUUGGGUCAGUCGAUUUUCAGGGGAUGGGGGGGGGGAGGCUCGCCGGAGUUAAGGAAGAACCACCCGCAGCGGGGACGGGGGCUCACCUGAGAGGUACCCCACUAUCUAUCUUAGGGUUCAGGGUGGGGGGCGGAGGGCCUAGAGGGUUGGUCGGGGCGCCGGUGGUGAGUUGUUUCGGGGCGGCGAGGCGGCGCUGGGGCCGCGGUUCGGCCGGUGGUGGCUGGCGGCUUAGGGGGGUGCAGGUUGAAGAUGAACUGCAGGCCCUCCCUAAACUACAUGUCAAGUGCCUCUCUGCUAUCAUUGCGUUCAGUUUCGACAGUAGCAUUCAGAUUCCACAGUAAAUUUUAGUUUCAAUAGUUAAGUUCAGAGUCAACAGUUUUUACCUCAACUGUUGUAGUCAGGUGGUUUUUGGUGAUGUUAAUUUUACAUCCAUUUUACAUCAUCUACUGAAGAUGCUAUUAGAAUCCCACUUGAGAUUGACGAUGUCUAUCUUGUGCUACUUCAGCCUUGACGUCUUACGGCUCACCGGAGCUGCUCCAAUGACAGAACGAUCCAUCACAACAGAGCAGUGCCCUGGACGCCGUCUAUAGAUUCCUCAGAUCUUCCUCCACACCUCCGACAGCCACCUCUGCCUCAACUGCUUCAGCGACCAACCCAAUGAUGCUGAGGUCGACGCGGCUAUGGCAAAGAGGUUGUACACUUGUUGCAUCACUUAUUACUAUACAUUCACGUCGAUCCAUUAGGGCUAUUUUGGUUCAACGGAAAAACGUCGAUCCACUGGUUGUUACCAUCACUCUAAAUUUCUGCAUGCUCUCCUUACAUAAUCUCACCAUAUUUUUUUUCGUAUGCAUGUUAGAUAUUAUACACAGUCAUGUUGAACAUGUAGAUAAAAAGAGAAGAGUUUUGCGCGGCAAUACAAUGUCAUGCAGACAUAGCUCCAUGGUGGGUUCAAUGGCAAACCCUCCCCACCCCUCUCCAGAUUGUAAUCCAGAGGAAGAUAUCUGUUCUGAGGCGGAUUCAGAAGCAGCUGACCACUCCUAUUUAACCCCCAAGGUGUUUGCUCUACCUUGGCAUGAUGAUGUUAGUCAUAUCAUGCAUAUGUUGCCUUGCAGUGCCUACUUUUGACAUCAUAUAUGUCAUCUGCUUAGUUUAGACAUGUUCUGUAAUGCCACCUAUUUAGUUUCUAUAUCAUAUAUGGGAAUUAUGCAGUCUCAUGUCUUUUAGCCAGCCAUAAUAUAUGUGAAAUGUGCAAUGCCAUCCUGUUUAACCAGGCAUCAUAUAUUUGAAUGAUAUCUUGCCCAUCCUUUUCUUCAUUACAUUUCCAUUUGUCGACAAUGUUUGUACAUUAAACUACUCUUCCUGUGAAUCAGCCAUUUGGGUGGGAGAUGGAAAAAUCUAGAGUGAAAACAAGGCCUUCAGAGCAGACAGUGCUACCUGUCGAAGCAGAUCUCUUGUUGGGUCCCGAUAGCUCCUCAGAGAUGGAUUCAGAGACAGAUGACCAGUCCUAUUCCCCCACUGAGGUGUAUGCUCUAACUUGGCACGGUUAUACUGCUCAUAUCAUGCAUACGGUGUCUUGCAUUGCAUAGUUUAGACAUCAUAUACACAAUAUUCGACACCAUGUUCUUAGUUCAGACAUCAUAUCGAAUGCCCUCUGUUUAGCAUAUAAAUCACAUAUGUGAAUUAAAUGACGCGAUCCUGAUUAAUUAGAUAACAUGUAGGUGAAUUAUGUCAUGUGAUCCUGUUUAGUUAUUCAUCAUAUCUUUGAAUUAUGUUAUUCUAUGCUAUCCAGAUUAGAUAGACAUCAUAUAUGUGAAAUUAUGUCAUGCUAUCCGUUUUAGUUAAACAAUAUACAUGUCAAUUAUUUCAUGCCCUCUUUUUUCCACACUAUCUAUUGCAUCUAUCUCUCAUACAAUGUCUGUACAUUCAACUAUAUUUCCUGUUUAUUAGCCAUUUGAAUUGGAGCGGGUGAUGCCAGUAUCUAGCGGACUAAAAACACGGUCUUCAAAUAAAAUAGUGCUACCUCUUGGUGGAGAUAGCACCCCGGUUGUACAUGCACAAGAACCAGCCCUACCACACAUAACCCAAACUCUCGCAGAUUGUACCCCUACUGCGAUGGAUAGGGAACCAGCUUCAGCCAAUCUAACCCCAACCCCAGCCGAUAGUAACCCAGUUCCUGUUGACACAACACCAUCUCCACCACAGAGCUCCCAAACAAGAGCAGUUAGUAAGGCAACUCCAGUGCCCAAAGGGCCAGUACUAUCACGGCGAACCCCAACUCCACCAGUUAGUACGCCUAUUCCUGUGGAGGAAGCACAACUAGCUAGUCGUAGUUUAGCAUCUAUCACAUUUGAUGUUGUUAAAUUGUAUGUGCGUAUCUUCCCAUCUUGGAAAUAUUAUACGGAAGAUGAAGGAAAAUGCCAGUUGCAGGUGUUUGUCCAGGAGUUAUGUAUAAGUAAUGUUAUUCAUGGCAAUUACUUUGCUUCGUCCAUACAUCCUACCUCCAUGAUGGUUAUAAUACAGCAAAUUUUCCCAUUUUUCUCUAUAGAGAAGGACCGAUUUGGAAACUCAGGAUGAGGUAACCUGUGCUAAUACCUCUGCUAUCUUCAAGAAUGCUUGGUGGCAGUAUCGGAAUUACGUGAAGAAAACAUACUUCACCGGCAAAGAAACUCAUCAAAUUCCCUUAUGUUCUCCUGAGACACAUUUACUGGACGAUGACUGGGAACGCCUUGUUCUGUACUGGUCCCGAAUCAGGAAUGUGGUAAGGUCUAUGAGCUCAUUUUCUAUUUUUAAGUAUUAUAUUCUCGCGUCUUACUAUAUUCAGUUCAUGUAGAACAAGUGCCUAAACCUGAAGAACAACUGUUCUAAUUUAACAUUCCAUUGCUAUCAUAGUUCAAAAAAGCGCUAGGCGUUAAUUGUGCGUUUUGCCACCGCCUUGCACUUUAUUGACCAAAGCGCAUGCUUAUGCGCAGUUAUGCACAUAUUAUGCGUAGUUAUGCGCAAUGCGUUUUGCCAACGCCUAGAGCCUAGGCGCGCUUAAGCACUUGCUUAGGCGCGCCCUUUUUAACUGUGAUUGCUUUGCUCUUGUAUCGCUGUAUUUACUCAUACAAACUUAUUUUUAUAUUGAAGGAUCCAAUCCAAACUCCAAUGGCACAACAGGUAUGUUCACGCAUGUUUCUUUAACAUGUUUGUUGUUAUCAAUAGCUCUAUUGGUUUCAAUUUCAAUUGUGUAUACAGUUGACUUUCAUAUCAUGCACAUUACUAGCAUCACAACAGAGCCAAUAGUGUUGUUGUACAUGUAGACCCGUGGUACCCAUCUGAAAUCUUGUUGUGCCGUGUAGUUUCCCACGCUUUGUAUUCUUUCACUGCUGCUUUGUCUUGAAUUGUUAUGAUUUGAACCGUGUCUCUAUUUUGAUUUGGCAAGACAAUGCAGUGACCAUAGGACAUAGAUAUAUGUUUGUUUGAUGCUUUUAUUAUGUACUAGUACUUGGCAAAAGAAGACUUGGUAGUUUAAUCCUGUCCACCUAACUACUGAACUGGUUCACCGAAAUGAGUUUCAUAUACUAGUACAUGCUAAACUUGUUAUGUGUCUGCUUGUUUCUUCUUUUAGAAUGCUAACAGAAUAUAGGGGAAGAGUGCCUUAUUAAGCGAUUGUAAAGGAAGUAAUGCAGAUAAGGUUCAGGAUAGUGACACAUCCUUGUUGGUCUCCAACAAAGCUGAUAAAACAGCUAAGGAAGACUAUCUUGAAGACAGCAAGACAACCCCAAAGUCUUGUCUUGGUUUAGUGUUCGAGUUACUGGCCACUACCACUUGCACAAGCUAUUCAAACUCACUGUCUGAAUCAGUUCGGUUUUUUGAGUCUCAACUACAAGCUAAAAGACAUCGAUCAGCCGUGCUACGACAAGAAGCGGAAGGACUGUGGAAGUCCCUGGAGCAUUCAGAUGCAUACUUUCUGGUGCAACAGAAAGCGUUGGAGGAUUUUAGCGCCAAACAAGACAAAGCUAAUCAGCUUGCUAAGCUUAUUGUCAGCAUGGUGGAUACCCAGGAUAACGUUUCUUGAGCUCUUCUGAAGUUGUUUCAGUUAUGCUCUUGUUUUGCUGCCGCGUUUAUUUGCACUGGUGGCCAAUUUUGACGGCCAGUGUAUGUAAUGUGCUACUUUGUUCCCUAUAUUUGCACUGGUGGUGAACUUUGAUGCCCAGUGGAUGUAAUAUGUCUAAUAGGGGUAAUAGGCUAGCGUUAAUUGCUUGCCUAUUUAUUUCCUUAUUGUCUUGUUUAGUUGUUUGCUUGUAGUCACUGCAGUUCUUUUUCUGUUUUUUUCUAGUGGACACAAUAGCCUAUUUUUGGUAAGUAGGCCAAAAUAAUCAUGGCAACAGACGGACUGUUGUAACCAUGGGCCUCUUGCAGACCGUAUGAUCCAUGGGCCUUCGUCCGGCCGUAGGAUCCAUUGGCCUUCUAUACGGGCCGUAGGAUUCAUCAGCCUUCUAUAUGGGCCUUAGGGUCCAUGGGCCUUCUACGGGCCGUAGGGUCCAUGGGCCUUCUACGGGUCGUACGAUCCAUGGGCCUUCUACGGGCUGUACGAUCCAUGGGCCUUCUACGGGCCGUACUAUCCAUGGGCCUCAUACGGGCCAUAGGAUCCAUGGGCCUUCUACGGGGCGUAUCAUCAUUUCGCCAAUCAUGGGCCAUACUAUUCGUGGACCAUAAUGGGCCGUUAAUAGGACGUAUUUGAUAACUCUAUGAAAAUAGUCCAACGGGGUUUUUUUGACAUGAAAACGGCCCAACGUAUUAACGGUCCGCAAACGGGCCGACUGUAACGACAUGCUGAAUUUGGCCCACAAGCAGAAAAUGAUAGUAACGGGCCGUAUGUAACCGAAUGCUGUUAAUGAGCCCAAGAAUCAAUGGGCCCUGAGAAGGCCGAAAGAUAACUUGGGUUGUAAACGGCCCAAUGGAAUAACGGGCCGUUAAUGGGUAUAAAGUGAUACACUGUUCAUUACGGGCCAGUUUCACCAUGGGCCGUUAAUGGGCCAAGAGUUACAAAGGUCCUCAUAUGGGCCGAAAGAAGUCAUGGGCCACACAUGGGCAAGAAGUUAAAACGGGCUAAAUCAUAUUGGACGGCCCAGAUGACGCUACUGGGCCUAAUUCAGAUAGGGCGUAACGGGCCCUGGGUUAGCGGGUUGUAAAUGGGCUAUAUGCGAACAAGCCAUUAACAGGCUUUUCGUGGGCCGGCUCGGCACCUUUUGACCAAGUCAAACGGGUCGGCCUUUUCAUAGGAAUGGGCCUCUAUUGGGCCGUGCCACGUGUCACCGUAUCAUAGGCGCCUUCGGUCUAAUGAGCAGAUGACAUCUGUCCCAACGGUGAGCCGACACGUGUUUCCUCCAGCCAAUGAUGAUUUUACACGUGGAAAAUCCCCAUUGGUCGGGGCUAUUAACGGGUUAUCGGAUCCAAAACCCGACCCGAUGGCUUAACGGCAUUCCGUUACGGUCGAUGCCACGUGUUGGUCACCCUUGACGAAAGCACUUCUAUGACGCGCGAUUUAUCGUCAUGGAAGUGGACACUUCCGUGAUGAUAAUUUUGGUAAUGUCAUGGAACACUUCUACGACAGCACAUGUAUGACUAUCUUGAUUCUGUCAUAAAAUCGUCAUGGAUGUACAUGCAUGACAAAAAACGUGACCUACUGUGACAAACACGUAUCAUCACGGAAGUGUAUUUUUUUGUAGUGAUGAAGAAGCGCGAGUUUCGCAACUUGCGCCAAGGAAGUCGUACAGUAGGACAGUAUGUGGAUGAGUUCACCAAGUUAGCCUGCUAUGCCCCAGAUGAUGUGGCCACAGAUGUCGCGAAGCAGGAGAAGUUUCUUGAGGACUCAAUGAUGAGCUAAGUAUGCAGUUGAUGGUGGCAACCAACUACCAGGAGUUGGUAGAUAGGGCCCUCAUGAUAGAAGGCAAGCAGCAACGGACUGAUAAUCACAAGAGGAAGUAUGGACAUGGGAGGUACAUUUCUGGAGCUCGGCAGAAGCCCCACUAUUCCACGUACUCAGGAGGACAUACUCACAACCAUGGAGGACAUACGCACAAUGGAGGAAGUUUGCACAACCACAGUGGCCCCAAGAAUGGCAAUGGGAAUGGAGGAAGCAACAGUCAGAAUCGUUCCAACCCCGCAACACCAUCCAAGAGGGAUCUGAGCCAUAUUACUUGUUUCAAGUGCGAGAAGACCGGACAUUAUGCCACUGAAUGUCCUGAAGCAAAGAAUGGAGAUGGCAAUGGAAAUUUUGCAUAUAAGCCCAACCCCUUCACCAAAGGUUAGGUGAAAUACGUCAGUGUGGAGGAGAUUGAGGAUCAACCCGAUGCAGUUGUCGGUAAGUUUUUGAUUAAUGCAUUUACAACACUUGUUCUUUUCAAUACUGGUGCAUCUCAUUCAUUCAUAUCAAGAGGAUUUGUGGAUAAGUAUAAGUUGUCAACAGUAGCCCUUAAGUCACCUAUGUUAGUAAGUUCCCCAGGAGCAGAGUAUAUGGCUACUAGGGGAUGUUAUCAGUUGCCAGUAACCAUAGGUAGACAUGUUUUCCCCACCGACCUGAUUGUCCUGGAGUCACAAGGAUUGGAUGUGAUACUAGGCAUGGAUUGGCUAUCCAAGUUUGAGGGAAACAUCGAUGGAUCUAGUAAAUCAAUUUUUCUCACCACCCUGGAAGGAAAGAGGAUCAAGUAUGUGUCUAGGCAUGCGCCGAGGAGGACUCAGGUGAAUUCCUUAUUAGGAGUUGUUCAAGAGGAAGUACCAGUGGUGAAGGAUUAUCCCGAUGUAUUUCCGGAGGAGUUACCAGGCAUGCCACUAGAUCGAGACAUUGAGUUUUUGAUUGAGUUAUUACCAGGCACUGGACCAAUAUCCAAGAGACCAUAUCGGAUGCCCGCAAAUGAUCUGGAAGAAAUUAAGAAGCAGAUUAAGGAGAUACUGGAGAAAGGUUACAUUCGACCAAGUUCAUCACCUUGGGGAUCCCCAGUGCUUCUAGUCGAGAAGAAGGAUGGACCUUUGAGGAUGGUUGUUGAUUAUCGUGCGGUGAAUGAGGUGACGAUCAAGAACACAUACCCUCUGUUGAUGAUCAAUGAUUUGUUUGACCAGCUACAGGGAGCUAAUGUUUUCUCCAAGAUCGAUCUUUGAUCAUGUUAUCACCAAUUGAAGAUCCGAGAACAGGAUAUACCUAAGACAACUUUUACCACGAGGUAUGGGCUAUAUGAGUAUACAGUUAUGUCAUUUGGUUUGACUAAUGCCCUUGCCUAUCUCAUGAGUAUGAUGAACAAGGUGUUCAUGGAGGUUUUGGAUAAGUUCGUCGUGGUGUUCAUUGAGGAUAUAUUGGUCUACUCGAAGAAUGAAGAAGAGCAUAAGGAACAUUUGCGUUUGGUUCAUUAAAAGCUCUGGGAACAUCAGUUGUAUGCCAAGUUCAGCAAAUGCGAGUUUUGGUUGAAGGAAGUUGGAUUUCUCGGACAUGUUAUAUCCGGAGAAGGAAUAGCAGUAGACCCUACCAAGGUUCCUUCUGUCACUAAAUGGUUGGCACCCACCUCAGUGGGAGAGAUGAGAAGUUUUCUUGGACUCGCAGGUUAUUACUGGAUAUUUAUUAAUAGUUUUUCCAAGAUUGCAAAGCCCAUGACGCAUUUAUUGAAGAAGGACACCAAGUUUAAAUGGACUGAAGAUUGUGAGGCCAGUUUUCAGGAGUUGAAGAAACGUUUGGUUACAGCCCCAGUGCUGAUUCUCCCAGACAUACGCAAGGAUUUCCAAGUGUAUUGCGAUGCUUCACGUCGAGGACUUGGAGCGUGCUUAUGCAGGAUGGAAGAGUUGUUUCAUAUGCCUCACGGCAGCUUCGACCUCAUGAGUUGAAUUACGCUACGCAUGAUUUGGAGUUAGCAGCCAUAGUGCACGCGCUCAAGACGUGGAGAAAUUUUCUCAUCGAAAACCGUUGUGAUGUUUACAUGGAUCAGAAGAGUUUGAAGUACAUCUUCAUGCAGAAGGAGUUGAACCUCAGGCAAAGGAGAUGGUUGGAGCUCAUAAAAGAUUAUGAUAUGAGAUUGCAUUAUCAUCUAGGAAAGGCCAAUGUCGUAGCAGAUGCGUUGAGCCGCAAGAAUUAUGUUAACACGCUCAUAACUGGUGGAUUUCCUAAGGAGUUAGUAGAUGACCUUCGAGAGCUAUGCUUGGAUAUAGUUCUGAGAGGUUAUGUUCCAGCAUUAGAAAUUCAGUCCACUUUGUUGGGUAAGAUCAGAGAAGCCGAGAAGACGGACAAGGAGAUUGCUGAGAUAAAGGAAAUGAUGAGUAAAGGAAAGGCUAAAGUAUUUCAUGAGGAUGAGCACGACACUUUAUGGUUUGAGGAUCGUAUUUAUGUGCCUAAUGACCCUGAGAUGAGGAAGUUGAUUCUUCAGGAGGCUCAUGAUUUGCCUUAUUCGAUUCACCCAGGCAACACCAAGAUGUAUUUGGAUUUGAAGGAAAGUUUCUGGUGGACAGGAAUGAAGAAGGAUAUUGCCGAGUAUGUAGCAGAUGUGAUGUAUGUCAGAGAGUUAAGGCAGAGCAUCAGAAACCAGUAGGGUUACUACAGCCUUUGCAGAUACCCGAAUGGAAGUGGGAUAAACUUGGCAUGGAUUUUAUCACUGGAUUACCCAGGACUCGUUCAGGCUAUGACUUUAUCUGGGUUGUAGUAGAUCGCAUGACGAAAGUAUCCCAUUUCAUCCCUGUGAAGACAACUUAUACGAGUGCUAAGUUGGCGAAGAUAUACGUGACUAGGAUCAUAUGUCUGCAUGGAGUUCCGAGGACCAUCAUAUCAGAUAGAGGAACACAGUUUACUUCAAAGUUUUGGAAUCAGUUGCAUGAAACUUUGGGUACCAGGCUAGAGUUUAGUACAGCCUUUCAUCCACAGACAGAUGGAUAGACUGAGAGAGUCAAUCAGAUUCUGGAGGACAUGUUGAGAGCUUGUGCUCUAGAUUAUGGAUCUAGUUGGGAUGACAAUUUGCCCUAUGCAGAGUUCUCCUAUAACAACAACUAUCAAGGCAGUUUGAAGAUGAGCCCUUUUGAAGCUUUGUGUGGAAGGAGGUGCAGGACACCGUUAUCGUGGUAUGAAGUUGGAGAUCGACAAUUAUUUGGACCAGACUUAAUCAGAGACUUUGAAGAGAAGGUUAAGUUGAUUCAAGACAGACUCAAGGUAGCCUAGUCCACAUAGAAGAGUUAUGCGGAUACUAAACGCAAGGAGGUAGCCUAUGAAGUAGGAGACAACGCAUAUCUUCGUGUGUACCCUCUUCGAGGAGUUAAGCGUUUUGGAGUCAAGGGAAAGCUAGCACCAUGUUUUGUGGGACCAUACAGAGUUUUGGAACGCAUGGGAGAAGUUGCAUACAAGUUGGAAUUGCCCGAAGGAUUGUCAGGAGUUCAUGAUGUGUUUCACAUUUCCCAGUUGAAGAAGUGCCACACCGAGAUGGAUGACAUUCCUCUAAGAGAUACAGUGCCACUGGACGCAAUUUAGUUGGAUAGUGAUCUGGCCUAUGAAGAUAAGCGGGUCAAGAUUCUCGAGUUUUCUAGCCGAGUUACUCGCGGCAAGGUGAUCAAGUUUUGCAAAGUUCAGUGGAGACAUAACACCGAGGAGGAAGUCACCUGGGAGCGAGAAGACCUCCGCAAGGACCACUCAAACCUUUUUGCUGACCAACCCGAAUCUCGAGGGCGAGAUUCAUCUUAAGGGGGUAGGUUUGUAACAUCCCAAUUUUAAAUUUGGAUGUUAUACAUAGAUCAUCAUAUGCAUAUCAUAUUUUAUUUGCAUUUUGGUCAUGAUCCUAGAAAUCUUAAGCAACUCAAGGACCUAAGGAGAGAGUUGGAGGUUUCAUAAUAUUUCCAUGUUUGAAUUUAUUUCAAAUUUGAAAAGAGAAUCAAUUUGUUUUUAAUGAUUUCUCUCCAAUUAUUUCCAACAAUAAAAAUAAAUGAGAGAGGACAAAACGACUUCCUCAAAACAGAGGAGAAAUAUUGGAAACAAAAUGUUGAAAUCAAAUUAUUAUUUUAUUUGCUACUUUUUUUAAUUAGAGAAAAACUUGCAUUUUCAAAAAUUGCAUUUAGUCCAGAAAAAUGUUCAUCUUGUCCUAAAUAUUAGGUUUGGACGGUGAAAAUUGUUACUAGAAUUUUUAGAAUAUUUUAUAUAUUUUAUUAGGAUUUUCUUCUGUGCGGAAAUCAUUUAAAAAAAACUUGCACACGGCCCAGCCGAGCCGGGCCUUGGCCCAGCAGGCCACUGCCUUCCCCGCACCGCGCCGCCGUGUGGCCGCCGGACUUCGGAGGAGUACGGACACGCCUCGCCCGUGCCGCCCGACCCCUCCAAGUCGGAGCCAUCGCCGCCUCGCCCUCCCGCCUUUAUAAGGCUGGGACUCGUCCCCCCCUCGCCUCCUCAUCGUCCCGCCACCACACCACCGCCACCGACCAGCACCGGCGCCGCCGCUGCUACUGCGAGCUGCUGCCGCCCCGCCUCGCUACAGCCCCACCGCUGCCAAGCCGCAGUCGCCGGAGCCUCGCCGGAGCCAUCACCGCCGCGAUCCGAUCCGAUCCGCCGCCGCCGGUUUUUCUUCACGAACCGGUGUAAUCGCCGAAAACCGUACCUUUUUUUAGGUUUUCUCGGUUUAUUUUUAUUAGACUAGUUUAUUUUAUGAGAUCGAUUAGAUAAUGAACGUUCACCCAUUAGACUAUUUUAGCGAACGAUUUCGUUCGUUUAGUUCUGUUAGCAAACGUUCGUUCUGUAGAUUUUUCUUUUUAGUUUUAUUUUCGGCCAGGGACCUAUCCGCGAAUAGUUUUCUCAUAUUUUAGCCCCACAUCUUAAAACUGGGGUAACUUUUUGCUCGUUUGUCCAAAUUAGACGGAACCAACGCCUAAAUCUUCAGAACGAUAUUUUCUUUCCAAUAAACCAACUUGAACAUGAUUUUGACAAUUUAAAAUUUGAGUUUAAUUCAUAUUAGUAUUCGAUCUUGUUUCGUUUGUAUGUUGAUUUUCGUAACUCCGUUUGAGUAGAUUCUUUUUGCAAAUCGUAGCUAAUCACAUAUACCUACUGUUAAGAUCUAAUCCACAUGAAAAUAAUGCUGUUAGGUUUGGUUUUCUAUUUAGUUUUGACGUUUGCUUGUUUCGAGUUUUAUUUGGAUCUUUUCUCAAUUUCUCUUUGUUUCGUUUGAGUGAUUGCUUAUGUAUGCUACUGUUUCUCUACGCUAGAUUAUCCGAGUGCAAAGCUUGUUACUAUGAAUACCUAGAGUUUGCAGAUCAUCGGCAAGGUGAUACGUCUCUGUCGUAUCUAUAAUUUUUGAUUGUUCCAUGCCAAUAUUCUUCAACUUUCAUAUACUUUUGGCAACUUUUUAUACUUUUUUCGGGACUAACAUAUUGAUCCAGUGCCCACUGCCAGUUCCUGUUUGUUGCAUGUUUUAUGUUUCGCAGAAAACCAAUAACAAACGGAAUCCAAACGGGAUAAAAACGGACGGAUAAUUGUUUUGGAAUAUUUGGGAUUUUCCAGAGGAAGAAUCAACGCGAAACAGUGUCCGAGGUGGCCACGAGACAGGGGGCACUCCUGGCACUCUCGUGGGCCACCUGUAAGGCGGUUGAUGCUCUUCUUUUGCCACAAGAAAACUCAUUUUACUUGAAAAAUCUGGGCGAAAGAUUCAACCCAAUCGGAGUUAUGGAUCUCCAGAUAUAAAGGAAACGGUGAAGGGGCAGAAUCAGAGAACGCAGAAACAGAGAGAUAGAUCCAAUCUCGGAGGGGCUCUCGCCCCUCCCACGCCAUGGGAGCCAAGGACCAGAGGGAAAACCCUUCUCCCAUCUAGGGAGAAGGUCAAGGAAGAAGAAGAAGAAGGGGGGCUCUCUCCCCCUUGCUUCCGGUGGCGCCGGAGCGCUACCGGGGGCCAUCAUCAUCACCGCGAUCUUCACCAACACCUCCGCCAUCUUCACCAACAUAUACAUCACCUUCCCCCAUCUAUAUCCAACGGUCCACUCUCCCUCAACCCGCUGUACCCUCUACUUGAACAUGGUGCUUUAUGCUUCAUAUUAUUAUCCAAUGAUGUGUUGCCAUCCUAUGAUGUCUGAGUAGAUUUUCGUUGUCCUAUCAGUGAUUGAUGAAUUGCUAUGAUUGGUUUGAGUUGCAUGUUUUAUUAUUAGUGAUGUCCUAUUGUGCCCUCUGUGUUGCACAAGCGUGAGGGAUUCCCGCUGUAGGGUUUGCAAUAUGUUUAUGAUUUGCUUAUGGUGGGUGGUGUGAGUGACAGAAGCACAGACCCAAGUAAGUAGGUUGUUUGCGUAUGGGAUAAAGGGGACUUGAUACUUUAAUGCUAUGGUUGGGUUUUUUCCUUAACGAAUCUUUAGUAGUUGCGGAUCCUUGCUAGAGUUCCAAUCAUAAGUGCAUAUGAUCCAAGUAGAGAAAGUAUGUUAGAUUAUGCCUCUCCCUCAAAUAGAAUUGCAAUAGUGAUUACCUGUCUAGUAACGUAGUCAUUUGCCUAGGGACAAUUCCACAACUCCUACCACCACUUUUCCACACUCUCUAUAUUUAUUUUAUUGCAUCUUUAUCUAAACAGCCCCUACUUUUUAUUUACGUGCUCUUUAUUAUCUUGCAAACCUAUCCUAUUACACCUACAAAGUACUUCUAGUUUCAUACUUGUUCUAGGUAAAGCGAACGUCAAGCAUGCGUAGAGUCGUAUCAGUGGCCGAUAGUACUUGAGAGAGUAUUUGUUCAACCUUUAGCUCCUCGUUGGGUUCGACACUCUUACUUAUCGAAAGAGGCUACAACUAUCCCGUAUACUUCCGGGUUAUCAAGACAUUUUUUUUGGCGCAGUUGCCGGGGAGUCAUAGCGUGGGGUGAAUAUUCUCGUGUGUGCUUGUUUACUUUAUCACUAAGUAAUUUGUAUUUGCUGUUCUUAGUUGUUCUCUAUAUUUAGUUAUGGAUAUGGAACACAAAAUACCAAAAAAAUCAGGUGUACUUUCUACUCAUGGAGAUGGGGUAACUCCUAAAACCCCCGAUGCUCAUUAUAUUCAAGAUAUUAUUUACUACUUUGAUAAUCCUGAGAAAACCCCAUUCAAAUUUAUAAUGGGAGACACGUUGGAUCAACGUCAAUACUUUAGGGAUUAUUGCUCGACACAAAAAGGGAAACUAAUAUGGGAUCAAUUUAUUAUGUUGUGUUGGUAUGCCCGGAAUCUAUGCUUGAGAUAUGAUAUUACCUGUUGCUCUAGGAUGAAGGCUCCACACCUUCCCUUUUCAUGCAAAUUUAAUGAAAAUGAAACCUUAGCUUCUUAUGCUAAUGGUAUAUAUGAUUACUAUGAUGUGGAACAAAUUGAAGAAUUUGCUGCUUUUAAGGCUGCUUAUGAAAUAGAAUCUUUGUUUGAAAAGUAUGAAGCUUUUGAUGAUGAUGGUGUUUAUAGGCCUGAAAAUCUUGCUAUACUUACAUAUUGCUAUGAAAAUUAUGAAUACAAUUACUAUAUUAAUACAUUUAUUAAGAAAGUCUCUGCUGUCGACUAAUAUUUUGUAGGAAUCUAUGGAAGAAGAAAUUGAUGAAACUAUGAGCUCAUUGGAUGAAAAAGAUGAUGAGGAGAGUGAAGAACAAAAGGAGGAAGAGCGGAUUGAUCACCCGUGUCCACCUUCUAAUGAGAGUAACUCUUCAACUCAUACAUUGUUUAAUUCCCCUUCGUGCUUACCGAAGGAUGAUUUCUAUGAUGAUUGCUAUGACCCCGUUGAUUCUCUUGAAAUAUCCCUUUUUGAUGAUGCUUGCUAUGCUUGUGGCCAAGAUGCCAAUAUGAAUUAUGCUUAUGGAGAUGAACUUGCUAUAGUUCCUUAUGUUAAACAUGAAUUUGUUGCUAUUGCACCCACGCAUGAUAGUCCUAUUAUCUUUUUGAAUUCUCCAAACUACACUAUAUCGGAGAAGUUCAUGCUUAUUAAGGAUCAUAUUGAUGGGUUGCCUUUUACCAUUGCACAUGAUGAUUUUUAUGAAUGUAAUAUUCAUGUGCUUGCUGCUCCUACUUGCAAUUAUUAUGAGAGAGGAACUUUAUCUCCACCUCUCUAUGUUUCCAAUAUGAUAGAAUUGCAAGAAACUGCUUAUACUAUGCAUUGGCCUUUUCUUGGUGUGCAUGAAUUGUUCUUUUAUGACAUGCCGAUGCAUGCAAGAGGGUUAGACUUCAUUGUUGCAUGAUAUAUGUUACUUUUUGCUCACUACUAAAUUACAAAUCAUUGUUAAUUAAAGUUGGCUCUGAUAUACCUUGGGAUCCGGGUGGAUCCAUUACUUGAGAACUAAAUGCCUAGCUUAAUGGCUUUAAAGAAAGCACUGUCAGGGAGACAACCCAGAAGUUUUAGAGAGUCAUUUAUUUCUUUUGAGUGCCUUUAUAUAUUUUAAAAACAAAAAAAAAUAAAGAUGGGAACCUAAAAACUUUUCAAAAAGGAAAGUGAAAGUGAGAAAGACGAGCAUUGUUGAAGUGGGAGAGCUCCUUGAACUUUGUUCAUGCUCAUGGAAACUUUGUGAAUCUUGAUUACAGAAAAUUUUCAUAUAAAAUAAUUAUCCCAUUGUAAAAUUCCUUUGUAUUGUAAAAAUAAUGUGCCAAGGUUUGCCUUUAGGAUGUUUACAAUGCUUGUUGGUUUGUACGGUGCAGGACAUAAACUUUGUCUGUAGUGCCCAAUUUUACAUUUUUAACUGGAACGUCAAACGGUUCUGAUUCUUUUUGCACUGUCUUUCUGUACAACUUUUUUAUUUUUACUAAUUUUCGUAGAAUUGUUGGGGUACCAGAAGUAUGGUGAAUGUUCAGAUUGCUACAGACUGUUCUGUUUUUGACAGAUUCUGUUUUUUGAUGCAAAGUUUGCUUGUUUUGAUGAAACUAUCCUUUUCUAUUAGUGGAUUAAGCUAUGGAAAAGUUAUAUUACAGUAGACACAAUUAAAAAACAAAAUAUGAAUUGGUUUGCAACAGUACUUAGAGUGGUGAUUUGCUUUAUUAUACUAACGGAUCUUACCGAGUUUUCUGUUGAAGUUUUGUGUGGAUGAAGUGUCUAAUCGAGGAUGUCUCGAUAUGAGGAAAAGGAAGAGAGGCAAGAGCUCAAGCUUGGGGAUGCCCAAGGCACCCCAAAUAAAUAUUCAAGGAGACUCAAGCAUCUAAUCUUGGGGAUGCCCCGGAAGGCAUCCCCUCUUUCUUCAACAAGUAUCAGUAUGUUUUCGAAUUCGUUUCGUUCAUGCGAUAUGUGCAAGUCUUGGAGCGUCUUUUGCAUUUAGUUUUCACUUUUCUUUUAUGCACCAUGCUGGUAUGAGAUAGUCCUUAGUUGAUUUAUAGAAUGCUCAUUGCACUUAACUUAAAUCUUUUGAGUAUGGCUUUAUAGAAUGCUUCAUGUGCUUCACUUAUAUCAUUUGAAGUUUGGAUUGCCUGUUUCUCUUCACAUAGAAAACCGCCAUUUGUAGAAUGCUCUUUUGCUUCACUUAUAUUUGUUAGAGCGUGGGCAUAUCUUUUGUAGAAAGAAUUAAACUCUCUUGCUUCACUUAUAUCUAUUUAGAGAGAUGACAGGAAUUGGUCAAUCACAUGGUUAGUCAUAAAAUCCAACAUAAAACUUAUAGAUCGCUGAAUAUGAUAUGUUUGAUUCCUUGCAAUAGUUUUGCGAUAUAAAGAUGGUGAUAUUAGAGUCAUGCUAGUGGGUGGUUGUGGAUUGUAGAGACACUUGUGUUGAGGUUUGGAAGUCCCGUAGCAUGCACGUAUGGUAACCGUUCUGUGACAAAUUUGAAGCAUGGGUUGUUUCUUUGAUUGUCUUCCUUAUGAGUGGCGGUCGGGGACGAGCGAUGGUCUUUUCCUACAAAUCUAUCCCCCUAGGGGCAUGCGUAAUAGUACUUUGCUUCGAGGGCUAAUAAACUUUUGCAAUAAGUAUAUGAGUUCUUUAUGACUAAUGUGAGUCCAUGGAUUAUACGCACUUUUACCUUUCCAUCAUUGCUAGCCUCUUCGGUACCGUGCAUUGCCCUUUCUCACCUCGAGAGUUGGUGCAAACUUCGCCGGUGCAUCCAAACCCUGUGAUAUGAUACGCUCUAUCACACAUAAGCCUCAUUAUAUCUUCCUCAAAACAGCCACCAUACCUACCUAUUAUGGCAUUUCCAUAGCCAUUCCGAGAUAUAUUGCCUUGCAACUUCCAUCAUCAUCAUAUACAUGACUUGAGCAUUUAUUGUCAUAUUGCUUUGCAUGAUCGUAAGAUAGCUAGCAUGAUGUUUUCAUGGCCUAUCCAUUUUUUGAUGUCAUUGCUAUGCUAGAUCAUUGCACAUCCCGGUACACCACCGGAAGCAUUCAUAUAGAGUCAUAUCUUUGUACCAGUAUCGAGUUGUAAUAUUGAGUUGUAAGUAAAUAAAAGUGUGAUGAUCAUCAUUAUAGAGCAUUGCCCCAUGAAAAAAAAGAAAAAAAGAAAAAAAAAAGAAAAAAA